rnacentral:lncRNA from 1 species
ACUCCAAUUAAUAAUUUUACAUUGGAUAGUUAUAGAUAGAUAUAAAAGUAUAUAAACUUGAUUAGACUAGACAUAAUAACUGAGUUUAAUUAUUUUGGUCUGGUGAUUCGAGCCUAACGAGUUAUUAUUGCUAUCAGGGCGGAUCGUUACAUUUGGUAUUAGAGCCGGUUCACCAGCUGCAAAUAUGAGAUGAGUCUUGAUUGAGCCACAGUCGAAAUAACAAACUAAAGUUAGGGUCGGUAAAUGACAGGCUAAGUCAAGAUUGGAAUGACAAGACUAGCGCGAUAGGUCUCACGUUGCCUGCUAAUUUUGGACUCUGUAUGUGUUUAAGCCCGACGAGGACGUCAGAGCUUAAACGGGAGGAGUAUGUGACACCCCAAUAAUCUCAUAUCGACUAGUUAUGGCUAGAUGUGAGGGAGUAUGUGACACUCCAAUAAUCCCAUAUCGGAUAAUUAUGAUUAGAUGUGAGGGUAUAUAAGUUUGAUUAGACUAGACAUAGUAAUUAGGUUUAAGUAUUUUUGAAUCGGUGGUUUAGGCCUAACGAGUUAUUAUUGCUAGGAGGUCGAAUAGUUACAAGUUUAUUUUUCAGCGAUACUGCAAAAAAUAUAUGUAAACGACUUACUGUGAUAUGAUUAAUAUAAUGUUAUCUACGAAAAUGAAUGAACUAUUUUUCUCCUGCACUUUUUUAUCCUUGAAGAUGAUUUAUCUUAUCCAAAUAUAACUUAAAGGGUGAAUAUAAUAUCCAAUCUUAGACUUUGAUCACACUUCUUUUCUACCAAAUGUACAAACUUUUGAGCUUUUGCAAAAGUAGACUGUCUUUUUAGAUUUUACAGAUUUGAGCCGGAUUUUCAAAAAAUUGACCAAAAUACUCUUAUUAUCUUUUCUCUCUCCUCUUUUUUCUCUUGUUUUUUAUUUUCUUUCUCUUUGAAGAGGGCGGCGGAAGCGAAGGCGAAGGCGGCCCGCCUCGCUUCUGUCCCACGCGCCCUCGUUCUCGCCCUCGCUCGGACACCCUCCCUUUGCUUUUCUCGCCUCCGACCUAGCUGAGGCUGUGCCUUGACACACUUUUUUUUUUUUUUUCUCUCCUUCUGUUCUCCAUCGCCUCUUCGGCUCUUUAUAAUAGCAAAGAGGGCAACGUCACAUCCUCUUCCUCUUCUUUUUUUCUCUAUUUUUUUUUUUUUUUCAACCCUCUUUUACAGCCUCCCCAACCCUCCACGACGGUAACGAAAACAGCGCCGCAUCCUCUUCUUUCGCCUUCGCCGACGCAGGUACCGACGUUAGUGCUGGAGAAGAAGGACUCGAAGCAAGUGCGGGUGAGAGCGGAGCCGAAAAAAAAAUAUAGAAAAUAAAAAAAAUAAAGAAUAAAAUACGAAGAAAAAAUAAUUCCUUCUACAAGAAAAAUAAAGAAAUAGAGAGAAAAGAAGAAGAUGAUGAAUUUGCGCUGUUAGGAGAAUGUUGCACGGUUUUAGGGAAAUGUUGCACUAUUUUAGAAAAAAUUUACACGCUUUGAAAAAAACUAUAUACUUUUUAGAUGAAAGUUACACUUUUUGAACAAAAGUUGCACUCUUUGAACGAAAAUUAUAUUAUUUGAGCAAAAAUUAUAUUAUUUCUUUUCUCCCUCCUUCUCUUUCUCGUCAAAUAGUGCAAUUUUUGGCUAAAUAGUGUAAUUUUUCUUCAAAGAGUGUAAAUUUCGUUCAAAGAGUGCAAUUUUCGUCCAUAAAAAUAUAAUUUUCUCUCAAAGAGGGUAAAUUUCCUAAAAAUCAAAGCAACGUUCCCCUAAAAUAAUGCAAAUUCAUCAUUUUUUCUUUUCUCCCUAAUUCUUCAUUUUUCUUGUAGAAAAAAUAUUUUUAUUUAUAUUUUAUAUUUUAUAUUUUAUAUUUUUUAUAUAUUUUUUUCUCGACUCCACUCUUACACGCACUUACUUCAUGUCCUUCUUCUCCGACACUGGCGUAGGUGUCUGCAUCAGCGAAGACAGAGGAAGAGGAUGCGAUGCUGUCCUCGUUACCGUCGUGGAGGGUCAUGAAGGCGGUAGAGGGGGGGUUGAAGAGAAAAAAAAUGAGAGAAAAAUAGGAGAGGAAGAGAGCGUGACAUAGCCCUUUUUACUACUGUAAAGAGUCAGGGAGGCGGUGGAGGUGGGUCGGGGAGAGACAAAAAGAGGGUCGAGUCGCAGUCUUGGCGGGGUUAAAGGCGAGGAAGGCGGAGGGAGGGUGCACGGACGAGUGCGAGGGUGAGGGCAAGGGCGAGGGCGAGGGCGGGUGGGACAGAGGCGAGCGUUUCCGCCUCCGCCUCUGCCUCCGCUGCUUCUUCGGCGAGAGAAAAAAAAAAGAGAGAGAGAGAAAAAAGAAUAAGGGUAUUUUGGUUAGUUUUCUGAAUAUCCGGUUCGAAUCUGUAAAAUCCAAAAAGGCGUCCUAUUUUUGCAAAUGCUCAAAACUAAUAAAUUUUUAUGCAAAUUGGCCUAGAAAAUAUUUGCAUUAUUUUAUAUUAUUCUUUUUUUUUCUAUAUAUUGAAUAUUUUUAUAUAUUUUUAAUUUAUGAUGAAUUUAAAAUUUAAAUAUUUAUUUUAAACUAAAACAUCAAAAUUUAAUUGAUAUUUAUUUCAAAAUUUAAAAUUUAAUUUUGAUCUAUUAUAUAAUUAAAAGUUUUUAAUUGUUAAGUCAAAUUUGAUAUCAAAAAUUACAUUUAAUUUAUGGUUUAAACUCAAAUUUAAAUUUUAAUGUAAAAUAGAUGGAAAGGAAUGCUGCUUUUUAACAGAUUAAUCAUAACCGUUCGUUCUUAUUUGAUUUUUUUUUUUAAACAAAUUGGUCAUAGCUGUUCGUAGGGAAUAUUGAAAUUUUUUUAACAAUUUUUUUUUGAUUAAACAGGGAUAUACCCUAUUUGAGAGAUUUUUUUUUAGCAAUUUUUUUUAACAAAUUGAUCAUAAUUGUUCGUAGGGAAUAUUCUUUUAUUUCUUUUUGAUUCCCUCUAUCAUUUAUAUAUGCUUUUAUAUAUAGUAUAGAUAUGUUAAUACAUCAAUAUAUCAGUAGCUUAUAUAAGAAUGACACUUAACUCCAUGCUUUGACACUAUAUAUAUAUAUAUAUAGAAUUAUGCUAUUAUGCUAUCGAUAGUACCGAGCGCUUGGUAUUAUCGAGUUUUCGGUUGUUGGAUUAAAGGAUGUGGGUAAGAAUGAUAGUACGCCCUAGGGUUGAGUGAGUGGUUGAUUGAAUAAUAUAAUCUAAUGGGUAGAAAUGAUUAAAGGGUAUAUUUAACAGCAGAAAACUUGAUAGUAUCAAAACCUGAUACUAUCGAUAGUAUAUAUAUAUACACACACACACACAUUCAACUCUAGCAUAAAAAUUGGCACUUAACAUCAUGUUAUUAAAAAAUAUAAAAUAAUUUCAAACAAUUCAUGUUUGGUCUCAAAAUUUUUUGAUGGGAGGAAACUAAUUGUGCUGAAGACUAUGUAGGAAUCGAACACAAAAUCUACUAUUUUGACACCAUAUUAAAUUAUAUAAAAUAAUCAUUUUUCUCUAAUAACUUAAGUCAUUAAAAAUAAUAUUUUUAUAAUUUUAUAUUUAGAAUAAUUAUUAUCUAGAAUAGUUAGUUCAUGCGUAUGUAAAACGAAAAAGCUAAUUGUACGCCCAAAAGUGGAUGUACAUCCUACUCCCAUCCAUCCAAAGGAGGGAAGUUGCCCAGCAGUCGCAUGAUGUGACUUGUAGAGGGAAUCCCACCUUUGGAUUAGAUGGGUGUAGAUUUUACACCGAUUUUGGAGAGUAUUUGUAGCAUUGCUCAUUGUUUUAGGUUAACCCAUCACAUUAUGAUUAUAAAAAACUAAUUUUUUUAUUGUACUUUUCUUUUCUGAAAGUAUAGAUGUGAUUAAUUUGUUAUUGUCGAUGCAGUGUAAGUGUAACACAGUAGACUUUCUCGUUUAUGUAUAGAGGUGAAAAUGGUGGAAUAUGGUUGGAUUUUUGACAAAAUUAUUAUUAUUAUUAUUAUUUUUGAAUGCGAUUCACAUGUGGAUAUAUGUGGAGUGCUAAAUUUUCGUUAGCGUAUCUGCUUAAUAUUGAUUUAGAUUAAGAUAUAAGCCGGAUUUAUAUUCAAAUAUUAUUUCGGUAAGCAUAUUCUAAUAUGCAUAUAUAAGUAUAAGUUAAAAUUAGCGCGAAUAAAAUACACAUUUGCAUUAAAGGUUAACAUUUGUAUUGAAUAAAAUUUAAUAUUUUUACAAAAAUAAAUGCAAUUUUAAUAUAAAAUUUAUAAUAAAAUAAAUGAAGAACAAUAUUGAUGUAAUGACCCGACCCGAUCCGCUAGCAAUAAUAAUUCAUUGGGUACAAACCACUGCCUAAAAUAUUUAAGCUCAAUUAUUAUUACUAGUGUCCAUGAUUUUUUAUAUAUACCUAAUCACAAUCUCAUUACGUUCCAUAGUCUUUUAUAUAUCCAAUCACAACUCCAUCUCUUUUAGAUCCUGACGUCCUCGUUAGUCGAAUCACACGUAGAGCUCAAGAUUAUAGGUGAUGCAACACUGUCUCUCUAGUCUUGUCAUUCCGAACUUAACUUCACAUGUCGCUUUGUCAUUUCGACCCUGUCUCAACUGAGACUCAUCUCAUACUUUCGGUUACCAAAUAUAAUGAUCCCUGCCAGCGAGCAAUAAUAAUUCAUUGAGUCCAAACCACAGUACAAAAUGCUUAAACCCAAUUAUUAUUAUUAGUGUUUAUCGUCUCUUAUAUACACCAAUCACAAAUCCGAUUUCCAUCUGAUAUAGAAUUAUUGGAGUGUCAUAAUAGAAUAUCACUUCAUCCCCUACAAUAUAAAUUAAUAACUAUUUUAUCUCUUAAUUAGGGGGCGAAAAUGGUUGAAUAUAGUUGCAGUUUCUAAUAAACCAUAUUCACAGCCAUUUUAUUUAUUUAUUUAUUUAUUUAUUUAUUUUUUGAGAGAUAGGUAGCACGUUACCCGCUUCGUUUAUUUCAUUUAGAAAUAAACUUAGCUGGAAAUGUGAAUCAACUAGGAUUCGAACUUGAGUCUCGGGUACCAACCACCAAGCCCUUUGCCACUUGCUCUAGGGACGGUCGGUUAUUUAUAUUUUUUUCAAUACGAAUUCGGUUACAAAUAUGCGUCGAAUGCUAAAUUUUGACAUUCGUGUUGGAUUGUUGGCGCUAAUUAUUAAUCCAAAAAAUUCAAGAUGUUAGAAAAAUACGACUAAUUUACAUACUUAAAGCGUACAGACACAGUGCUCACGAAUCUCGAUUGUGAGUCAAUUCAACCAGCUUCCCGCCACUUCGAAUAUGACUCCACCAAACCCGACCUCUUGCCCUUCGAACUUGACUAGAUCUAACUUGACCUUCCAUCAUAAAAUAAAAUGCUGAUCUUUUUGAGCCAACCAUCUAUAUGCACAUCCUAUCGAAUUCGCCAUCGAAUUCAAUUCUCGGGAUUAGGAGCCCACAGACAACUUCAACAAAAAGCGGUAUUUUGGGGGAGCUCGUACCAGUACUCAAUGUGGAAUUAAUGGUAGAGUUCCCAAUCAAAAAUGCUAUGUGGAUGUGAAUGUAUUUGAGAGGUAUAUAUAUAUAUAUAUAUAUAUAUAUAUAUAUAUAUAUAGUCACAUUAUUUAAAUUUUUAGGACCUUAUCCUAGUACUAAAACGAUAAUUUUAAAAGAACACCUUCUAGAAAUGGAAACGUAUUUUUAUUUGUGCAAUAGCUUGUGGUGUGUGUGGAUCACAUGCAUGCUAAUACCCAAAUUCUUACUUUGUCACGGCCAAAUUAAUCAAAGACCAAAAAACCCAGGACUACUUCACCAACCAAAUUUAAUAACAAAAAUUGACAUAAAUGAUAAACCCUUAAUUAUAUCUCUUAUGUGAAUGACUCAUUUGUUUAAUACGUAUUACACAGUAGAUAGAAACGUACAAAACUUUUCUUUCUUUGAUUCGCUCUGAUUCGCCUCAAAAAAAGCAGUAGGUGACGGCAAAAAAUAAAAUACGAAUUAAUCCAUUUCUAAUCCGUCCCAACUCGAUAAGAAACAAGACGACAGGUAAGAAACCUCUCCCGCCUCCAGAUCCGCCCCGUUUGUAUUUCUACUCCAGUCUGAAUUUUUUUAACUCUUUAGUUUGGGAAUUCACCAUGGCCAAAUAAAUUUAGAAAUAUAUUCUCUUCUCCUUACGAACAACCUCAUGCACAUAAUUUUUGUCACCCAAUGGCUAGAAUACCUUCCAAUGCUGAUACCCAGUGCAUACGCACAAAUUAGGUUGCACAUUUUUGCUGUUUCUUCAGCGAUUAAUUAUUUUUUAUCACUCACCAUAGUUACUGCCAGAAACAACUCUUAGGGACCGUUUGGUUAUAUGUAAUUACAAAUGCAGUAUUUUUGAAAAUGUAUGCAGUUAAAAAUACAGUAAUUACAAUUACAUGCAUCCUACUUGGUUGGAUAUAGUAAAAAGCAUAACAACUAUAGAUAAUUUGUUCAGUUGCAUGCAGUUGAGAAAUAAAUUUUAAAAUUUUAUUAUUUUAUACAUAUUAUGGUCAGAUUACCUACAACGUAAAAUAAUAAUAAUAAUAAUAAUUUUUUGUUUAAAAAAUAAUUAGAAAGAUAAGCUUACCUUUUGCUUAAAGUCACUCUUUCUAAUUGCUGCAAUUGGACCUCCACCUGCAAUUUCUACCAUAGCAGUUGAAGUUAAAUACAUCGAACAAAACACUGAAUUUGUAUUUACAUGCAGUUAUAACUGUAAUGCAAUGUUAACUACAUGCAACCAAACGACCCUCUUAACAUAAAAAUGAGUCGAUACUUCUCAGCAAGGUCCAAAUGUUAAAUUGGCCUGCCGGCUAGAUUUUCCCGGUCCAAUAGUUUCAACUUUAGGCCCAAAUCAACUCAUUGGUCCAAUCACAUGAUUCUUCAGUGGCGAUUCCUAUCGCAAUUUUAUAGCAUCAGAGAAGUUAAAAAAAAGUAAAUAUUGGACUAGUUUAUUUAAUUAGGAAUUUGUUUUUAUAAACUUUUUCUUUUGUAGUUAUUAUUUCUCCUAUGUUUGUCGAUGUUGUUUUUCUCAUAUUUCAUACGUAAUGUAUGUGUAAUAUCUAUCAGGGAUCAUGUACUAAUACAUGGCAUGUAACUUGAGCAAUCCACCAUCUAAGAUAGAAUCGAAUUAUAUUAGUGAAAAUCUAGACCUUUGUAUUUUUUACUAAAAUAAAUUGAAUAAAUUUGGAUAUUCUCAUUGCAUUUGUGGCUUGGUUUUGCAAUUUUUUUUUUGUUUGUUUGUUCAAAACUGAAUCGAAUUGAAUUAGUAACACAAACCAAACGGUACCGUUAAUUUAACCGCUACAAUUUGGCUUAAUUGGAGUCCAUAUUACAUUAAAAAUUUGUUAAGCUACUAAAAUUAAGAUACAAAUAUGAUUAGUUUAUAUUUCAAUCUUUAAUAUCUAGAUAAUAGUGAUUAAAGUUUCUUUUAAAUGUCACAUCCUAAUUCCCGGGGAAUCACUCUUUACCGAGGCCCCAACUCGAUAAAUCGGGUAUCUUAAACCUAAUAACCUGUCGGGUCCAAUUCACUGGUCCAAAAUGCUAUAGCCCGGUGUGGGAUUAUUUUUAGCCGGGAGUAUUACAAUUAAACUUUAGGAUUAAUGUAAAUAAAUGAAGUUAUCAAAUUUGUUAAUGUGGUUUAUUCAAUUUUUUUAUUUUAAAUUUGCAUAACUGAUCUGAACUGGGAUGACAUAAAAUUGAAUCCGACAAAUCGAAAUGAACUAAAAUUUGGUUUCUACUUAAAGAUCAAAAUUCCUAAUGAUGAAUAUUAGCUAGCAUCUCUUUCAUUUUUGUUAGAGUUAAUUUCAUACGUAAACAAUUGAAUAGCAAAUAUAUUUCUAUUAAAUUUUAAUUUUUUAUAUUUAUCUCUACAAAGUCUAGUGAUAUUAAUAUUUGCUCAUCUGAUUUGUUACUAUUAAAGCACUAUUUAUUUUUUAACCAAAGAUAAAUAAAAUGAUAUUUUUGUCAUCACAAAUAUGUCCCUCCAAAAGUCCGAAUGGUUAGAAAAAUCCUUCCAAAAAUUUUUAACGAUUAUCUUCUUUCUUUCUGCCACCACAUAGUACAAGAGGACUAAAAAAAUCAAUUUACCUUAUUCACUAAGCAGAAUUAAGUAUUUUAUAUAUGAUUAACUAUAUUUUUCUAAUGGAUCUUAACGGUAUGAAUAUAUUUAAAAAUUUUAAAAUUUUUACAUGAAUAAAUAUAAAAAACUAAAACUAAUUUUUAUAAGAACAUAGGAUAUAUUUACAGAAAUUUUUUUUGUAAUUAAAUGUUUUUGUUAUCAAAUAAGUGCGUGGCAUUUAAUAUGUUUAUCACAUAGCAGGGGCUACAGAGAAAUGUUGAAUUGUAAUAGUGAACACAUGGAACAUUCCAGAACAUGCUUUUUUCACCGCCUCUAUUCCAAAUAAUAAGCCCGUUGCGCAUGCCACGUUACUAAUUUUAUUAGCGCAUUUAUAGGUAGGGUCCAUAGAAUACAAAUAUAAAUAUAAAAAAUUUAGUAUUUGAUAUAUAUUCGCAUUCGAAUUCUCAUGCAAAAAAAAAUAAUAUGAAUAUGAAUAUAAUUUCUAAAAAAUAAUGAAAGCGAAUUUAGUGUUCGACACAUGUAGGAUAUAUAGUAAAGCAAGAGAAAUAUUAAUUUAAUGUUGAUUAUUAAGUGAUAGAAAAUCUUAAUUAGCAUGAGUUAGGAAAUAUUUUUAAUUUCAUAUUUGAUAAAAAUUAUUAAUAGUCAAUUUAUAAGAAUAUAUUAAUUCUUAAUAACCUCACAAUCUAUGACUUUUGUAAGUUUAUAGAAAAAUUAUCAUUUCAAAUAUAAAAUAUACAACAUAAUAUUGGAUCCGGACCGGGUUGGAUUUGGUUAAUAAGCCAAAUUUCAAAAAAAAUUUAUAUAAUUAAAGAUAUCAUAAUAAAAAUAGACAAUUGAUUGUAGGGGAAACUUUAAAUACCCCCGUGGUUUCUCAUUUCUAACUUUAGUACCCUUUGGUUUCAAGUGUAUUAAGUUAGUGCCUUGUUGUUUCGCACUUUCUUACUUUAGUACCCUAUGGUUUCAAGUGUAUCAAGUUAGUACCCUGUGAUUUUAUUUUUGUAUCAAGUUAGUACUCUGUGGUUUCAAUUUUCUCUUUUUAUUAUCCAUUUCGGAAUAUAUAAUUUAACGAAAUAUUAAACCACAAGGUACUAAAGUGAGAAAGCGCGAAACCACAGGGUACUAACUUGAUACACUUGAAACCACAUGGUACUAAAGUGAGAAGGUGAGAAAUCACAGAGUACUAACAUGAUACACUUUAAACCACAAAACAUUAAAAUGAGAAAGUGAGAACUUGAGAAACUACGGGGGGGUAUUUGAAGUUUUCCUUGAUUGUAUAUAUUUAUAUUCGAUUUGGACUUAUAUUUUAAUUUGAACAAAAUAAUUUGUCGCUGACGUGUUGCAUAUUUGCCACCCCAAUGGCCGUCUAAACAAAGUCGGCAGCGAAGCUACAUCGCGCGCCGAAUUUUAUGCUAGCCCAAACUAGCCAGACAUAAAACCAGAGUCGGCGGCGAAGCUACUUCGCACGCUGACUUUUACCUUCAGACGGCGACGCCCUUUACGGCUUUACCCGACGACCGACCUGCCCCUUCUCCGACCUCAUCUCCCCCCUCCCACAAAAUCCCUCACCGAUCCCGAUUAGGGUUUCAUUUUCCUCCCCCAUCGCCUCCUCCUCCUCCUCCCAACGCCAAGCCCCCAUGUCGACGCUCCCCGACGAGGUAUGGCUCCGGAUACUCGAGCUCGGCGCGGCGAGCUCCAUCUUGGGUUACCGUGACCUCUGCCGCGUCGCUAUCGCCUCGCGCCGCCUCAACCGCCUCUCCCAGGAGCCCUCCCUCUGGGGCGCCCUCCUCGCCCUCGACUUCCCCUUCUCGGGUUCCGAAACCCCCUCCAAAUCACUCUACAAGAUCAAGUACGAGAUCGUUCCCUUUCUUCUGUUCUGAAUCCGAUCUCUUGAGCGGUGGGUGUGGAACUUAGGGUUUGGGGAGGUUUUUGGUAGGUUUGAGAAGGACAAGGCGCGGAGGAUCGCCAUGCGGAGGAUGGCAGUUAUCGGAGCGGAGGAACGGGUGUUGCUGACCAAGAAGAAGUUGGCGGAUUUGGAGCUUUCGAUGGCGAGGGAGGGCGAGAGGAUGAAGGCGACAUUGGAGGAGUUGGAGAAUUUGGAGAGGGUCAGGUAUUAGUGAAAUUUACCUAUUUGAAGUGGUUAUUAAUGAAAAGAAAAAAAAAAAAAAAGAAAGAUGAUUUUGAAUGGCCAUUUGAAGUUUCAGCUUGUUUGCUAUUAUCAGUGUUUGAAUUUGAUCAUGUUUUGUAUAUUUGGUAUUGAAAAAUGAUUGCUAUGAUUUGUGAAAUGUGUGAUAAUAUUAGUCUACUUGAAAUGGUUUAAUUAUGCAUAUGCAGGUAAAAAGCACUUUUUGUUAGCUGAAGAAGCAUGUACAAAGGCUUUUCUUAAUUUUUUUUUUGCUUUUAAAGUAUGAUUUAGCAUUGUCCUGCAAAUGGGUUUCCAACAAAUUGCAUGUUGUGCAUAUAUAUCUUCCUAGAAGAUCUUAUGAUGGGCUUAAUGAUGCUAAAAGGGGAAAAAAAAAAAAAUAUAAAACCCUCUAAGGUGUCAGUAGAAGCUUUUCUGUUGUUCAGAAGUAGAAGCAUAUUUCAACUUACCUCCCUGUAAGAUUUUUGUAAGUGGCCACGAUCUCUUGGAAAAUUUCAUUAAUCACGGAAAUUUCUUCUUUUUUUUUAGUAAUUUGAUAUUGAUUGUUUGAUAUAAGCCGUGAAGUGUUUGUUGUAAUUGAUCCUCUUGUUUUUAAUGCCUGUUAAGUCAUCGAUCAUGUUUCACGUUGCCCACGCUGCUUAGAUCAAAUUUUGAUGAUGAGAAGACUGUUGGGAGAUAUAGUUCUGAUACCAAGCUAAUGCGAUCUCACUGUCCAGAUGUAACAAUGUCCUCAAUUUGGUUGUAUCAAACUAGAUUUGGAUUCAAUUUUUGCUCGAAUUUUCUAAAGAGAAUUGCUAUAUGGAAUUGGUUUCCAGCAGACACUUAGUGUAAAACUUGAUUAAAAUCUGCUAGAGGUGCUUUGGCAUGUUUCUCUAAAUUUAGUCAGAAGUCAGAAUUUUGCAAAGAAAACUCCCGAGAUUGGUAAAUAUGUCUUUGAUUUCCUUUUUGGAGUUGUUUUACCUCUAUAACUAUUGAUGUUCUCAAGAUUCGGUCAUAAUCAACAUAUUGCCUUAAGAAUUUAAUUGAUACUUAGUUUCUGUUUGUCCUCAUUUUGCACUAAAUGAUUUCUUUAGGAGCGCAUCUGUGGCAUUAAAUGUAUGGCAACCGGAAGUUGUUCGUGGGCGUCAAAAGCAGAUAGUUGAGCAAUGCACAGUGCCUGUUGAGUCUCGUCUUAAUGCUCUUAGAAUGGAGGCUAGAGUUUGUAAGAAACAAAUCGAAACUUUUAAAAAGGCCUAUGUAUGUCUCUUCAUUUUCAUGUUAUAAUAUAUAUAUAUACACCUUGGAAAGAUGUGGACAAGGCUGUGUUACUAUCUUGCUUUCAUUGACACUGACAGCACAACGAGAAGCUCAAGUUGAGUGAGUACGAGGAGAAACUGAGAUCAUUGAAGUAUCACCCGCUUAGUAGUGAUCAGUUGAUUGGAACCGUUGACAGUUUGAAUCCAAAAAGGCAGAAGUUGAAGCACAGUCACAGUAAGCAUUUCUCGAGCUUAAAUGUCUAUGCUCUUCUUUGCAUGUCACCUCACCCCCUGCAUGUUUAACCUUUUGGUUUCGAUCUCUUUUUCUUUGUAAAUACUCAUUGACUUUACUGCAGGUGAGAAAAGUUACUAAUUAUUGACGAAUUUUAGCGAACGCUGACAUUUUGGUUGAGUGUUCCUCUGGAAUGCAUAAUGUGUCUUGCAUUAUCUUAUCAUUCCUUUUCUUUGGAUGGUUAUGCUCGCGCUUGACUACUUGAAGAAGUCGAGGUCGUGGAUCAUAUGCCAAUUGUAAUGGGCUCUUUUGCAUGUUGUAAAUACAUAUGAAUAGUUUUACAUAAUUUAUAUCAUACAAGCUGAGCACUAGUUAAGGUGUCAGCAAGAAAUUAGAUGCUCAAAUUUUGUGUUAGAUUCCAUAAUUGAUGGUUGUUGAUAAUCUUUGCAUCAAGUUUGCUUCUUGGUUAUUUUGAAUUGGUGGGUUUUUUGCCAACCAUAUUAUCUAAUGCCUGGAUAUAUUUGCGAUUGGAUGUAUUAAUCACCGUAGAUGGGUGGCUGAUUCUCCUUAUAUGUACUAUUUCUCUGUGCACGGAUUUGCAGUGAAUGCAUCCAUCGUUCUUAUAUGCUACUGAUUUGUUGAUGUAUAUUUUGUGGAGACUUUUUACUCAUUUAUACACACAAUUUUAAUUUGUUUGGUACAAAGCUUACCAACACAUACUAUCUAGUUUGGUGGUUUUGUUGUCUAUCAUGCGUCUAAUGAUCUGAUGCUGUCCAUCUUUUUAAGGUCAUUGUUGGAGUGUUGCUGUGUUUGUCGGCACAUUUUUAUUACUAGAUAAAUAAUGUUGAAAAAUUAUGAUAUUUGAUUUCUGCAAAAUUCAAUUAGUUUAGAUAAUGGUGUGAUACCCAAGAAUAACAACUGAGAGCUUUCAUGUAGUAUAUAUUGUUGAUGUCAAAUCAUGCUCAACACCUGAUUACUGUAGACGUAAUUGCACUUUUGCUCCUCAAACUAUGAGGUGCUUGAUAUUUUAGUACUUAAACUUUGAUUAAUUAUAAUUUUUGACAUAAACUUUCUAAAAAAGUUUUGCAAACCGAUUUAGCUGACUAAAUAUUGACAAAUUAUUAAUAUGGAAGUGAUAUAGCAUGGUAAUUAUUGUAUAUUAAUAAUUUGUUGACAUCUAGCUAACUAAAUUAUGCUGUGGAACUCGAUUGUGAUAAUUUAUUAAGUCAGAAAUUGUAACAAAUUAAAGUUUGGAGAUUAAAGUGUCGCGCCCCUCCUAGUUUGAAAAUCAAAAGUGUGAUUUACCUUUACUACAAUGUCUUGCAAAUAAUUAUGCACCAAAUAAGAAUGUUUAGUCAUCCAAACUGGUUUCUAGCAGAGCAUUCUAAGCUGAAAGGUGGCCAACUAAAAUGGACAACCUUUGCAAUCAAGGUUCUGGCUCGGGAUUCAUAUGGGUAAGAUUUAAUUUGGGUUAAAUUUUAGAAGCGUUUUUAUAGGAUUGGUCCAAUAGCUGGAAGGACCGGCAAUCCAGCUUGUGUUUGGCUCGAAAUGUGCUCGAGAUCAAUCGUUUUUUAAAUAAACGAGUAGAGCACGAGUUGGGACUAGCUCUUUUGUGUUCGGCUUGAUAUAUAUAGAUUUUAGGUCAAGUCAAAUGUAAAAAAGAUUUAUAUUACAAUAUUUUACUAUUUGGAUCUUAGGCUAAUCUAAAUAUAAAGAGAUCUAUAUUUUAUAAAUUUUAAUUAUGGGAUUAAAAUUUUAAUUUUUUAAUUUUCUUUCAACUUUUUACUAGUAGCAGAAGUGAUAAUCUUAACUUGUUAUUCGUAAGUCAGCUCGAGCUUGGUUUUUUAACAUGGGUCCCUAGCUCGCUCGUUUUCGGCUUUUUGACAGCCCUAAAUAGCCCUUGCUAAAAUUGUUGAUGGAUUGGUCCAAUGUAAAUCCGAGUGGUUCACAGUAACUAUAAUUAUAAACUUAGUUCAAAUCACCCGUGGGAUAUGGAAAUAUAAAGUUAGGGAUAUCAUAAAUUUUAACCCUUUCCACAUAACUAGUGUUUUAAAUAGCGAUCGCUAAAUUGUAUAUGCUAUUGCUAUAUCAUAACCUCUAAAGCGAAAUUUAGCUGAUUGGGUUCAAAACGGCCACUUUAGCGGUGUAGGGCCUACUAAAACGGUUGUUGUAAAGCAGUCGAAAAGUGGGCACUAUGAGCCAAAAACUUAAAAAAGUGCAAACUAGUUAAAACAUCAAAUCGGAUCAGGUUCUCAAGUAAAUGACCAAAAUACGUCUAGUGAAGGAGAAGAAGAAUGCUUUCCUGAUGAAUAAGAUUUUAAUUAUAUACCCAAGAUAUCAUUUUUUGAUAUUUAUUUACAAAUUGUUUGAAUUAUUAAUGGAUUAUAGCUUUUUGAGUUUUAUAUCUUUUCGGUUUGCUAAAUCGUAAUAUUUUAAAGUCAAUUUUAAUAGAUAAUGAUAUUAAAUAUGUAUAGGUUUGCAAUAUUGAAAAAAAAAAAUAGUUAUUUUUUCUUUAAAAUUUUAUUUUUUUAAAAAAUUAAAUAUAUAUUUUUUAAAGAAAAUUAUAUAUAUUUUUAAAGAACAUGAAUAUAAAUAUAAACGUAAUAAGUUUGCUUUUAUGAAACCCGUUAUGGGUUCAUAGCACAUGCUAUGCACCCGCUAUCUGUUUUUCGUUACAAAAUUCUCCAAAUGCUAUGUGCCAGUUAUCCGCUAUUUACAAUGUUACAUAUAACAAAAUAGAGCAUGUAGCUAUGGUCCAUUACAACAACUAUUUAAUGCCACAGCAAAUCAACUAAUUAAUGCAUCUAUUUUUAACAUUUUAUCCCUUUUUUGUGGCGGAUAUUGGUGGAUAACAGGUCCCAUUAAUCUGCAAUCCUCAUCCGAAAUAGGGUUGUUUUCUGAGUUUUUGCCAAAGAGAAGAAAAAUACAAAAUGGAUAAUUUUUAAGGAUUUGGAUCAUAUACUAUAUAUGUGGUUGUAUAAAGAAAUAACCAUCCAAGCUAGCUUCAAAUUGUGACUAGAAAUCUAUAUUAGAUUUAUAAGGUAAAUUUGGCAAUUAGGUUUAGAUUUGCUAUUCCCUAUGUUUUUAAUCAACUUAAAUUCACUAGUGGCCACCCCUAAUUUGAAAAUCCCCAUCAACUUAGAAUGAAAUUUAAUGUAGAGUUUUUAGGAUCACUUGUAGAAUAGGUCUUGAAAUAUUGGAAUGAAUGAAUAAUCUUAUCCAGCAUAUUUCUUUUGUCUAUUUAAUGCGAAUGUAAUAAUAAGUAAUAGACAUGGAACUAGACUAUUAUACUAUUAAUGGCACCGGAUCAUUUGCAGUAUUAGAUUUUCAGCCUUUGGAUGAAGAAAUGUGCGGUUAGAAUGAUAGUGAUCCCCUAGGGUUGAGUAGGUUGUUGGUUGAAUAAUAUGAUCUAACAGAUAAAAGUGGUCAAAGGGUAAGAUCUAAUGGCAAAACACUUAAUAACACCAAGCGAAAUUGAUGAAGAGUAUGCUUAGAUUAGAUAUCUAUAAAUAUAUUAUAUUCUGCCUCUAAAUUAUUUUUCAAAAUAAAAAAAAUCGUUCAGCACAUUAUGAGGACUAAACUAAAAGCGAGAAAGUACUCUGCAUUUAUAUAAGAAAAUUCUCAUGGCACAUAUACCAUAUAAUACUUGAUAACUUAUUCUGAUAUCCAAAUAAGCAUUUAUAUAAGAAAAUUCUCAUGGCGCAUAAACCAUAUAAUACUUGAUAACUUAUUCUGAUAUCCAAACAAGUUCUAGAAACCGUUCAUUCAGGCAUUACUAAUAUAUAAAAUUCGGGUAAUCCAAAAAGAUUCUUGCCAAAAUCUUUUCAGGUAUUUGCUAAUCUAUGGUUUAGAUUUAACAAAUCCUUACAUGUACUUGUCUUAUAAAGGGACACUCUAUUAUUGUCCCUCAUCCUAUGAGCUAGUGGUAUCCAUUAGAUUUUUGGUAUCAAAUUCAAUUUACAUCCAAAUUUUAUAUCUUCUAUUAUCAAAACAAGAUAUUGGGGGGUGUUUGGCCCUACUGCUGAAAAGUGAUUUUGAGUCCAAAAAUGAUUUUGGGCUCACAAGAGUGUUUGCAACAAGUGCUCAAAAAUUUGAUUCUACUUUUCAGAAUCAGAAAACUGAUUUUGAAGGUCCCAGAAUCAGAAGUAAGAAAAAAAAAAACUACUUCUUAAAAUCUGAUUCUGAUUUUGAACUCAAAUUUCAAAUUUUUAUUUUAAUUUUAGAUUCAAAGUUUAAAUUUAAAUUUAAUUCUAAUUUUUAGAUUUUAAAUUCAUAUUUGAAUUUUUAAAUUUCAACUUUUCGAAUUUAAAUUUUAAAUUUUAAAUUUUAAAUUUUAAAUUUUAAUUUCAAAUCUCAAAUUUUAAAUUUUAAAAUUCAAAUUUAAGAUAAAAUUUAAAAUUUGACAUUUUAGAUUUUAAAAUUUAAAAAUACAAGUUUUAAUCUUCAAAUUAUAAAUUUCAAAAUGUUAAAAUUAAAAUUUAAAAUUUUUAAAAAUCAAAUUCUAAAUUUUUAAAAUUUAAAAUUUAAAACUAUAAAAUUAAAAUUUAAAAUUUAAAUUUAAAUUUAAAAAUUCAAAUUUUAAAUUUCAAAAUUUUAAAUUUUAAAUUUACUUUUUAAAUUAAAAUAUCAAAUUUAAAAUUUUGUACAAAUUUGAAAUUUAAAAUUUUAAUUUUAAUUCAACUUUAAAUUUUAAUUUUAAAUUAUUUAGAUAAAAUUUAGCUAAAAUAUUAAUAUGUGCCAACAUCAAAAUUUUUUUACCAAACAGCCUUACAAAAUUACUUCCGAAAAAUCAUUUUUAUUUAAACUCAACCAAACGCUCUGCAGUUUUUAUCCAAAGUAAAAUUUUCAAACCAAAAUAAAUUCUGUAAAAAUUACUUUUCCAGAAUCUAGGUCAAACAUGCCCCAUUAAAAGGCAAAGGAACAAUUUGAAAACCUCAAAUUUUGCUCAAUUUAUCAACUUUGACCUGUGCAAUUCCUCUAGUGGCUCUCAUCUUAACAAAUUGACACUAUUUUAGAGCUUAGGUUAUUUAAGAAUUUCAAUACAAGCUUUGAGAAAUUGAAUUAUCUUAGGAUAUAUAUAUAUUUUUUAAAUUACUAUGCCUUAGGGGAAAAAAAAGGAACUAACUUUCGAACCAAUCAACUCUAUUGCUCUAAUAUUCCUCGCUUCAUGCAAGGCUACUUUUGCAUGGAGACAUUUUCAUCGUUUAUAUUUAACACUUUCUCUACUAUAUUCCAACCAAAUAACUUGGAUCUUUUGUUCUGAUACGACGUGAAAAUUUCUCUCUGAUGUAAGCUAUGAAAAGAUAAAAUUUUAAUAACUUAAUAAUUUUCACCAACUUUUAUAAGAUUUAAUGUAUAAGGGAAAUAUCAUAUAGAUCCAAGAAAUGAGGAAGAUUCUUAUUUUUUACAAAAGUUGGAAGAUCCCAAAUAAAUGACUACUUAGAGAUGUAAAACGGGCCAGGCGGCACGUAGGCCACCCGGCCCGGCAUGGCCUCGGGCCGGGCCACAUCACGGCACGGGUACUGUAGCAUCCGUGCCGGGCCGGGCCGGGCCGGCCCGAAGCUCUAGGCCGUGCUGGGCCACUAUUUUGGAGCCCAAAGGCCCGGCACGGCAUGGGCCGAAUCGCGGCCUGGGCGUACGUGCGCCGAGUUAAGGCUGGCGGCCCGGCCACGCCACGACCUGCUUGGCCUUUGGCCGUGCGCAGCCUUGGUCCCCAUCGCCCCCAAGCAUUGCCUUGGCAGGGGUCUGAGCUCCUGGCGGAGGAGAGCUCGGUCCUCCUCCCAGGAUCUCUCCUCCACAGGUCUGCUGAGAGAGUCUUUGACGUCCAAUGACCAAAGACUUUUGCGUCCAUUGGCAAAAGUCUUAUAACAUUUUAGUUUUUUUUAUUUUUUUAAUAGAAGUUUAAUACAGAAUUAAUUAUUUUUUUAAAAAAAUUAAAUAUUUCUAUUUAGUAUAAUUAUUUUAUUAAUUUUUUUAAUAUUUAAUCAUAAAUAUUAAUUUAAAUAAAUAUUUAUGUUUUAUAUUUUAAAAUUUCAUACUAAAUUUUUUAAAUUUCUUAAAAAAAUAAAACUUUAAUAAGCCGGCCGACAGACAGCCCAGCCCGCACGGCUCCGUUCCUUACCGGCCAAAGUGCCGCUGCGGGCAGAGGAUAGAAAACAUUUGGGCCCGACACGGCCCGCCCGAUAAUUAAAUCCCGGCAGGCGCCCUGCAGGAACCCUAGCCCGAUUUUGGCCAAAAAAUGUGGGCCGUGCCGGCCCGCACGUCCCACAAUUACAACCCCAUGAACUACUUAGAUAUAUUAGUGUUUAUUUAUUUUUUUUCUAUCACUUACUUAUCUAAGAGUUGCCACUAUUGUCUGUAGAUCUACACAAGAGAAAAAAAAAAUGAUUUGUUUUAGAACCUAAUGCAAUAUUUAAUUGGGAUGAAUUUACCAAUUUAUAACAUGAGAUAAGAGUCACCGACCGUCCCUAAGCAAUGGCAAAGGAUUAUGAUUUUUACAACCGUCCCAAGUUCAACACUAAGUCUUAUACACUUUUUAGCUAAGUUUAUUUCGCAUAAAUGAAAUAACAAGCAGUAGCGUUCCUACCAAUCUCUCUUGCAAAAAAAAAAAAAAAAAGAGUUUCAGCUUCCACAUGAACUUAAAUUUAGGCUAAUGUAGUAAUGCUUCUAACCUCAUUUCAACCGUAUAGUUAGAUACUUUUACAAGCGUCGUUUGUUAGACAUGUAGUUACAAUCAGUUAGUGGAGAUGUAUGCAGUUGGAAUACUAACAGUUGUGUAACUACGUGCAGUCUGUUUGUUUCAGUAGAGUAGGGAACACGUUGCAACUAUAAUUAAUUUGUCUUGGUUGAAUGUAGUUGAGAAAUAAUUUUAAAAUUAUCGACUUUUAUAUUAUUAUGAUGGGGUGUGAAUGAAUACCUCCAAUAUAACAAAAUUAUUUUUGUUUAAAAGUAAUUUAAGGAGGUAAGAUUACAUUUGUUUAAAGUUGUGCUCUUCACUGCUGCCGAAAUGAAUUACGGCAUAUUAAGCGUAGUUCAACUGCCUGCUGAGUUAGCCUCCUUCUGCAGUUCUCUAGCUGCCAACAGUAAGAUAAACUAUAUUAAACGAGAAAUAUUCGGUACUUUUAAAAAAAAAUAAAAAUGAAUCUUAACCGUUAUAAUAGAGUAUAUAUAAUGUAACUUUAAUACUUAGCAGGUAAAAGAAUUAUUUAUUCAAGCGUUAGUUUGUAAUUAAUAAUACAAUAUUUUAAAAGAAACUUUUUAAUUGAUGUCCUAAAUUUUAUGCAUUAAUUGCACUAAUUCUAGACAAAUUAAUUAUUAACCCAAUUAUGCAAUUAUUAUCCAUUAAUUAGAAUUUACUUAAUGUUUUAGGUUCUCCAAUUAUCAUUAAUUCUUAAAUCGUAUAGAAUUUAGACAGAAAUAGUUUUAUUUAUAAAGAGCGAUGAAUUAAUUUAAAAAUUAAAUACUUAAAAUUAAAAGUGAAAUUGAAUUAGAGAGAAUUUCAUAAUUACUAUUUUUAAAACUAAAUUCUACCAGAAUUUAAGAAUACAAGUUAUCGCACAGUUUCCAAACGUAAUGCAUAAAAACUUUAGAGAGUAAGAUUUUACAACUAGAUUUCUCUAAUGAAUUUCAUAUUACUAUUGAAAUUUUAAAUCAGAGAUUUUAAAAACUAGAUUGAAACGUUGAUUUAUCUCUGAUCAGACUAUUGACCUCUUCUAUCAAGUAUUGAUUUAACCUAUUGAACCGAAACCGGUAAAGUAUAAUAAACGAUUUCUAAACAGAAUGAUAUUUAACUUAGAACGCUAAUAAAUAUUUUAAAUAUACGUUUUAAACAUAUAAUUAAAAGAUUAGAAUUAUUGUGAGAUAAAUAAAAUGUUAUGGAUAUUGAAUUCGAAUCUCACUAACAAUCACAAACUUAUUUCCGAACUCACAAUUUCAAAAAUCCAUAUCCAAAUUCAAAACUGACCAAUUUUUCGAAACCCAAAACCAAACCUAAACCAGAAGACUAGAAUUCAAACAAUUAUUUCUGUUUACCAUAUUUCAAAGUAUUUAUAUGAAACUUAAAUUUUUAAAAUAUAAAUUUGAAUAUAAUAUUAAAUUUUAAAUUUAAAAGUGAAAUUUAAAUUAGAGGAAUUUCAUAUUACUAUUUAAAGUUUAAAUUCAAUGAUCAUAUUGUCAAAUCAUUUGAAAUUUUUCUUAUAUGAAAUGCUAAAUUAUGAAAGGAAAGAUAGAGAGAGAAAAAGGAAACAAAGAAAAAAUAAAAAUUUUGAAAAUAUAGUAGAUGUAAAAUGACUAAAUUGCCUAUGUAUUAAAAGACAAAAAUAUUCUUUUUUGAGAUACCUGGUAACCGGUACCUCUCCCAAAGUAACCUGCUAUUGCAGGUCACAAUUUUAAAAAAACUAAAUCUGAGCCGUUGAAUACGCGUGAAUGAACGGUAACAAAAAAAAAAAAAAGUAUAGAAGCUUUACUCAUAUUAAACCAAACACUAAAUUUGCAUUUGCAAUGCAGUUACAACUGUAGUGUAAUUGCAAUUAUAUGCAACCAAACGGUCCCUUAGAGGAUUUUAAGGAUAUAAGAGCCUAAAGACGAUUUCAAUUAUAUGAUACAUAACCUCAGUUUAAGGGCUAUUUAGUUGAAUGAUAACCAGUACAAUAGUGUUGCAACUAGAAAUGUCCAAAAUAUUCAAUAAUCCAUACUGAUCUAGACUCGAUUAAAAGUAGGUAGCAUAGGAGUGAAAAAAAUUGUCAAUUAAAGUUUCGAGUAGGGGUUUAGAUAUCUUAUAUUCAUAUCUGAUCCGGAUUAGAUCCUAUAGUAGGCAGGGUCCGGAAUAAUUUUUAUAUCCUAACCCAGUAAUCUUGAAUAGUUUUUAUAUCGGACCCAGUAAAAUAUCCAACCGUAAAAAGUUAAAGCAAAGGAAAAAAAAAAUUAAAAAAAAAUUAUGAAAAUUGAAAAACUUAUACUUAUUUUCUCACUAUAAUAUUUUGGACUUAUUGUGUAUGAUCUACAUUAUAGAAGGCGCAUUUGUUCUAGACAUAUGGUGCAUGUUAUGUCACUACUUGUAUAUAUAUAUUAUGUAAUUAUGUAAUAUGUGUUCUGAGUUGUUAAUAUAAUUUUAACUAUUAUGACAUUGAACAUUUUAGAGUGGUGGUUGCAUGUGUUUAAGAGUAAUUAAUACAUGUGUAGGAAUUAAAAAAUUUUGUAUUUUUAUUUUGAACUUAUCACAUAAUAAAUAUUUAUAUUUUAUGUCAUGAUUACACAGUAGCAUACAAAUAGUCACUAUUCAAAUUCGCUUAAAUAAAUUCGAUAAGUACAUUAGUGACUUAAUUAUUCGGAUCUGAACUCGUUGCGAAGUUGUAUCGAUAGAAUAUAUAUAUAUAUAUAUAUAUAUAUAUAUAUAUAUUUAUAUUUAUUUUUUAGAGUAUGGAUACAGCAUAAUAACUAUUCUGAUCCGACAUGGAUUUAUGAAUAUCUCUAGCUAAUUCCAUAGAAAAAUUUAUGCAAAUGCCACAUCCACCGUUCACUAUAGCCCAUGCUUUAAAAUGGACGGUGGAGAAAUAAACAAAAUUAUUUAUCCAGUUCCGAACGGGAAAACAGUACGGCCCCGACCAAUCCCAUGGAUUCGCGCCACGAGAGACGGGUUGACACCGCUCCACGUCGCCAUCAAAAUAUGACGAAAAUACCCCUAUCUCUGCUACACUACAAAAGCCCAUCCAACGUUUAAGCCGUAAAACACUGAGGGGCUUUUUCGUCCUUUGGCUCAAAAUAUUACCACGUUACCGAAUAUACCCUUUCGACUCUACGAAACGAGCCGCGAGACAUAAGAGUAUAAUAGUCAUUUCACCACCGAUCUCAGUGUGCGUGCUCAUAAAUUCCCCUGUAGUUCGCACCGAAAUCAACGUUCUCUCUCCCCCGUCGAUCGCUUCGUCACGGAUUGGACGGCUGAGAUCGACCGAGAUCUCCGAUCCGUCCCUUCGAAGGAAACCAACGGUAGAGAUCUCGUCCAAGUAAGUUGAUACACGAUCCUUUUUCCAUUUUCUUUUCUUUUUUUUUUUAAUUUAUAUUUGUAUUUGUUUUCAUUAAAUACUAAAAUUUUGGUUGAGUUUUGAGGAAGCGUUACACUUCGAAUGAGCUAAAGAGUUUCGCAAAUAGAGAUUUUUUUUUUUUUUUGUUAUAAUUUUAUCUGUGUCAUUUUAGUUUUCUUAUAAUGUAAAGAAAUUAUGUCAAUUCUUAUUAGAAUUCGAAUUUGGAUUUGGAUUCGAAUUUGAAUUUAUUUUGAGCCAUACAGAAGAGUUUGAAUCAUGUUUUACAUAAUAUAUUCUCUUCUAACUCGGUUGGAAAAUUUUAAUCCAUUCCGACUCUCAUCGGUAAACUUGCUGGAAAAUUGAAAACUUAAUUAUUUGAACAUGAAAAUACGUAAAUCAAGUAGCACGGGAACAAUAUGAUCUUAAAACACCUAAGUGAUACAGAUGAAAUCUCAAAAUAGCGAUGUUGAAUAUGCAAUAUAAAAUUUAGAUUUUUUUUAAAAGAAAUAUAGUUUGCAUACUAAGAUUAAGAAACUUCUAGGACUUGUUUAGUUCACCUAUUUUAGACUAUGAAAUUAAAAUGAUCAUUGAUUUCGAUAAUUGUUAUUUGUUUUAUAGGAAUCAGAUUUCGAUUUCUAUUUCGGCCACUCUGGAAUGGAAACGAUCCACUUUAUUCAUGCCUCAAUCCGACUUUUAAUUUUUAAAUUGGUCAAAUCUAAAACAGAUACAUUUCUCUUCUCCCGUCGUCAGUCUCAUCUUUCUCAAUCAGAAUCCCCUCUUAAAGUUUUAAAUGUCCAUUCUAAUUUUCAUUCCAGUAAUAAACUCGUUAAUUUUAGAUAAUCCAUCAUUUUAUUUUUCAUUUCUAUUUCAAUCAUAAAUCAAAUAUGCCCUUAAAAUAAUUAGUUAGGAAAAUGAGCUUAAAAAAACAUUGAAUCUUAUAAUUAGCGUGUUUUGUUCUUGUUCUUGUUGUAUUAGCAUUCAAUGGGACCCUUAAUGCUUAAUUUAGUGGCUCUAAUUAAGCCAAUCAAUUCAAUUGUUGUCAUGGUGCUUUCUUUUUUAGAUAUUAUAGUUUUAACUGCAUACAAAUUCAAAUAUAGCGUUUAGAUCUAUGCAUUUUUAUUCCACUAUUUCAAUUAGAGCUACAUUUGGAUUGUGAGAGGUUCCAAUUUUGCGGAAAAAAAAAUCAAAAUCCAAUGUUGGAACUAGCAAAUAAAAACGACAUAACUAUAACAGCUGCAGGGGCACAGAAUUAAACGAAAUAAGUAUUUUCAGCUGUAUGUUUCUUCUAGCUACACUGCAUUUAUAAUUAACAUUGAUGAGAGGUUUUUAAAAAGGAAGAAACAAUAAGUACGGGAAGUGGCGGCGGACAGAAAUGUGCGGCAUUGAAUUGCAAAUGACAAAAUUGAAUCUAAAACAUCUCGAAACUAUCGGAGCUUAGGAUUAGUUCUGAAACUGUUAUGCUCGUCUAAUUGUUCUAUUAGAAAAUAGUUCAGAAAUAAUCUGAACAGAAUUGAAAAUUCAAAUUCUUGGUCACAUUCUAAAAUUAUUACAUUUUGAUAGAAAAUAACAAUUGUCUUAAUAUACUACUGGAUGGAAAAGUAGAAACUCAAUUUGAGCCAGUAGAAAUGAAUGAUGAUUAAAAUUUCUAAAAUGAUGAAGUAUGUGUAAAACUCGGACCGGGCCCAGCCCGAAACCAAAAUUUUGACCCGGCCCGUUAUUUGCCAAACCUACCUGCUUAUGCAAUUGUUGUUUUGGAUGUAUACUUAGGUUUUGUUUGGUAUUGCGGUAGCUAAAAACAUCUGCUUGUUUAUUUGAAAAUGCCUAAAAGUUAAAAAGCGAUUUUAAUAGUUCCUCCUCCAAUGUUAUAAACUGGUGGUAGGAAUCGCGGUCGAAACCGUAAAGAGAGGGGAAGAGGGGAUUAUAUUAAUUGACGAAAUAAUUGGCAAUUAAUUGUUGCUUUUUGGCCUACUAUUUUACACAAGAAGCUAUUUCACAAAACUUGCUUCCUCCACAAACUGAUUUUUAUUUCUGUUGCUAGACUCCGUACGUCUCAUUUUAAGAUCCUUCUGAACUAGUCAAAAAUAUAUAUACUUUUUUUCCCGAAAAGCUAGAGGAUUGAAAAGCCUCAGCGCAAAACAGAUUGGCAGAAGAUCAAAUCGCUGACCUCUUAGUUGACAAAUAAGAGUACCAACCAACUACGCUAAAUAGUGAUCGGUAGUGCAAAAUCAUAUGCUGCUGGUCCAUACUGACAAUUCAUCUCUUUAUGAAUCAUUAUGGCUAUCCCCACUUGAACACUUAAUAUCAUCAAUUAUGUUGUCCUCUACAUUGCAUCUGAACAGUGAACACAUCCUAAAUAUCUGAGGGUAAUGGAUGUGUAGGUACAUCUAUAUAUUAGGGUCUACUAUAAUUUGUAGUUUAGGUUAUAAAAAAGCUCAAAUUUACAUCUCUUACUUAUGUCAUGUCACUCAUAAGCAAUAAACACUAUUUUGAAAGCUCAAAUUAAAAGAAAGAGGAGAACCGAGUCGUUUAAAACGUACAGACGCAAUGCAUAUUUGAAUUCUAAAAAGUAAUUCAAAAUUUGUAACUUGCUUUUAUAAAUUGUAUUAUAGUUGUGCUUUAGAAGGAGCCUUUUAUAAUUCGCCACCUCGAAGCUCUCAUUUUACAUUGUUUUGAGAUGGUGAAAGAUUAUUAAAAUAUUAAGUGGCGUUUAAGCAAGAUUUUAUAUCUCCAAAGAAGGAUUAAGCUUCUCUAGAAAUUGGAUGAGGCACUCUUAAUUGUAGGGAUUUUGUCAAAGAUUAGUCUAAACCAACAUUAGCUUUUACACGCAAAAAUAUAAGAAAAAAAAAAGGAAAAUUACCAACAUUUGCCACCAUUAGGGGUAGGAAUGCAGACGGGGCGGAUCCGGGUGCGGAAGGAGUUUCUCACCUCGUGCUCCAUUUCUUAUCAGAUCGGGACAGAUUCGAACCGGACUAUUUUUAGUUUUAUUUUUGACCCCUACUGAUCGCUUCAUUUCAAUCAGAUUAGUGCGAGAAUGAAUUUUUCGCAAACUUUUCAUAAAUCAUAUUAGACUAAAUGAAGAAAAAGGUCUUAUGCCUCCCGCUCCAUUUAUUUGGCGUGUCGAGACGGAUUCAGGAACGGAUUACAUAAUUCUAUAUAUUUUUUUAUUUUCACUUAUCGUCCGUCCUAUUCAAAAUUGAUCGGAAUGAGAGCUCCACCAACCCGGAUCCAUUUGCAUCUCUACCUAAUUAGAUGUAUCCAUCAAGUUGACAAGAAAAAAAAAAAAAAAAGAAUGUUUCCAUAUCCCUUCUCUAAUUAAUGGUGAAAAUGUAUGGAGCCCCCUAAGCUAUGGACCAUUUUGAAUAGGCCCCUCUGCUUUACUUUUUUGUCCUGUCGUUGUCGAAUUUAAUAGCUCUGUUAGUUCUUAGCUCUUAAUUGUUUCUGUUUCUUUUGACGAAAAUUAAUUAAUAUAUAAAUUUGAUUAAACCACUGAGAUAUUUAUUUUCAUUAAGAGGGCCUUUGGUUCGGCGUAAAAUAAAUCAAAAAAUUAUUUUCGACACGAAAAAUACUUUUUCGUUUGUUUGAUUUGAUGUAAAAGUAUUUUUACAGAUAUGAAAAAAUUAAAAUUUUUGUUUUUCAUUGUCUUUUUGACGAAAACCGAAAAUUCAAAACUAGCGAACCAAAUAAAUGUAUUUUUUUUUUUCAAUCAAAUAAAUGUUGAUGAAAAACUUUUUUUUUUUCCUACAAACUAAAUACUAUAAAACGUAGAACUUUUUUUUUCACUAAAAAUUCUUUUUUAUGAUUUUACGUUGAACCAAACGGAUCCUAAUUGAAGUCACUAAAUUCAGAAAACGUAAAAGCUGAGUAUCAAUUCUAAAGAAAAAAAAAAAAAUUUGAGGGACCAUUUCACAAACGACUGUAGUUGAGGGUGUCACCAUAAAUUUAUAUUUAAUUAUAUGUAAAAUGAUAUAACAAUGAUGGCUAAUUAUAUUUAGAGAAUAAUGCAAAGUUUAAGUAAAGAAACAUCUAAAUACUAUAUUAAAUAUUUUUAUAUUCUAUCACAUAAAGAAACAUUAAAAAAAUAAACUGAUAAAUUUAAUUCGCAUAUGAUAUUAUGUUAAUAUAUAUAUAUAUAUAUAUCAUAAAUGGCCAUAUUGUCAACUUUUAUAAGCUUGUUCGAAUUAAAAGAGAGUUAAAUAGUAAUUAAAUUAAUGAAAUAACAAUUUUACCCUCAACUAUCCAUUGUAAGGUAAAAAUAUUAAUACAAUUUAUUUUUUAUAUUAUUUUAUUUAAGAACUAGUUUGCAAUUUUAUAUCUUAUAGCAUAAUUUUAAAAAAAAAAAUUUCUUAUCAAGUGUGUGNAAAAAAAGAGUUCAUGCUUCCACAUGAACUUAAAUUUAGGGCUAAUGAGUAAUGACUCUAACCUCAUUUCAACCUAUAGUUAGAUACUUUUACAGGUCGUUUGGUUAGAUGUAGUUACAAAUUCAGUGUAGUUGGAGAUGUAUGCAGUUGGAAAUACAACAGUUGUAACUACGUGCAUCUUGUUUGGUUCGAUGUAGUAGGAAACGUUGCAACUAUAAAUAAUUUGUUUGGUUGAAUGUAGUUGAGAAAUAAUUUUUAAAAUUUUAUCACUUUAUAUAUAUGAUGGUGAAAUUACCUCCAACAUAACAAAAUUAUUUUUUGUUUAAAGAUAAUUAAGGAGGUAAGCAUACAUUUUGUUUAAAGUUGUGCUCUUCAACUGCUGCAAUUGGAAUUACGGCCAAUUUAAGCGUAGUUCGAACUGCUGCAGUUAGGCCUCCUUCUGCAGUUUCUAGUGCAACAGUUAAAGAUAAAUAUAUUAAACGAGAAAUGAUUCGGUACUUUAUUUUAUAAAAAAUAAAAAUGAUCUUAACCGUUGAUUAAUAGAGGGUAAAAAUGUNACUAAAAAUUCUUUUUUAUGAUUUUACGUUGAACCAAACGGAUCCUAAUUGAAGUCACUAAAUUCAGAAAACGUAAAAGCUGAGUAUCAAUUCUAAAGAAAAAAAAAAAAAUUUGAGGGACCAUUUCACAAACGACUGUAGUUGAGGGUGUCACCAUAAAUUUAUAUUUAAUUAUAUGUAAAAUGAUAUAACAAUGAUGGCUAAUUAUAUUUAGAGAAUAAUGCAAAGUUUAAGUAAAGAAACAUCUAAAUACUAUAUUAAAUAUUUUUAUAUUCUAUCACAUAAAGACACAUUAAAAAAAAAAUCUAAGUACUAUACUAAAUAGUUUUAUAUUCUAUCACAUAAAGAAACAUUAAAAAAAUAAACUGAUAAAUUUAAUUCGCAUAUGAUAUUAUGUUAAUAUAUAUAUAUAUAUAUAUCAUAAAUGGCCAUAUUGUCAACUUUUAUAAGCUUGUUCGAAUUAAAAGAGAGUUAAAUAGUAAUUAAAUUAAUGAAAUAACAAUUUUACCCUCAACUAUCCAUUGUAAGGUAAAAAUAUUAAUACAAUUUAUUUUUUAUAUUAUUUUAUUUAAGAACUAGUUUGCAAUUUUAUAUCUUAUAGCAUAAUUUUAAAAAAAAAAAUUUCUUAUCAAGUGUGUGAUCUAUUGUCUUUUAUCUGUUGAAUUUGUCUUUUUAAAAAAUUUGUUAAAACUAUGAAAGUUGCUUUUCUAAUUAUAAGUUUAUUAAAUUUUAAAAAUAAAAUUUUAGAGCUAAUUGAUCAUAUUUGCAUGAAUUUUAUUAGGGUCAUUUAAAUAUAUUUCUGACUUUUACGAGGACAUUGGUGAUAUUUUAAAAUUUAAAUAGCCAUUGAUUAUAUUACAGUUCGGUACGUAAAAGAGCAUUCAAAAAAUUAUUUAUUUAUAUUAAAUAUUUCAAUAAUAUGUGUCAAUGACAUGUACUUAAUUUUUCUAUUUGCUUGACUCGGUUCAAAUGCUGUAGUUGAAACGCGCUUGCUUUAUAUUGAUCGAAACAUUAAUUAAUCAAUUUAUUUAUUUAUUUAUUACGCAUUUUAUUUUGUUCUUAUUUCUCACCUGAUAUGUAUUUGUUUAUAAGGGAGUGUUUGGUUUCUCCAAAAAUAUUUUAGAAAAUAAUUUUUUGGAUGAAAAAAUUAUUUUUUUAUCAGUUUGAUUUCUUAAAAAAAUAUUUUUUUUGGAAAUUUUUGCUUUUAGAUUUCACGAAAAACUAGUAUUUUAGUUUUUUAAGUAUUUUAUUUAGAAAAUAAAAACUCUAGGAAAAAAAAAAUAUUAUUCAUAAUUUUUUUUCAAAAACACUCUUUUCCAAGAAGCCAUACACACCAUGAGCGCCUUCUUUGUUAUUGUGAUUCACCUAAGAUCAACAGAUAAAAUAGAAUUGGGACAAAAGUAUAAAAAUAUAUUUCUGUGUUUUUUUGGUGGAAUUGCAGAAACCAUUCAACUCAUUGCGAUAUGCGAAAUGCGAUAUUACAUACGAAAAUAAAUAGAAUAUUUUUUUAUCGUACUUUUUCACCGUAUAUAAUAUUAUCUCUCUGUAAUUCCAAAUGUAGUCUAAUACAAUUACUUUGAAUAUAUUUAUUUAUAUAUAUUUUUAAUGAAAAAAAAAUAUUAUUAUGUCCUUCAAAACGGCGCCCUUCUCAUUCAUGCCGCUUCACACAUACUUAGUUUAAUGUUGCCACAAAAAAAAAAGUUUUUUUUGUAGGUACAAAUACAUGAACACCCCUUAAUUUUAAUUACCUUCUCAUUUGGGACUUUUGAUUUAAAUUCACUUUUUGAUUUCUAAAGGGCAAAAUCGUCAUUUCACAUUUGGCUAACUUGGAGGGAGAAUCGCGGGGCGACCACGCACUUGUUCUCGCACGAGUAUCAACGCACCCUCACACGUGCGACCCAUUUACCCGUUGACCGACCUUGCCCCGUGCGAAAUGACUUAUUUACCCCCUACACGAGAGAAACUUAUCUGCACCGGGUCUACCCGUGUGCGUGCUCUGUUCAUACCAUAUUAAAAACCAACCUACAUUGAACCCUAUUAUUUUCCAAAUCACAUAGUUUCAAAAAUUACUGUAUUAUUAAAGGACUAUCAUUUAAUUUAUAAAAAAAAAUGAUUUCUAAAUAUAAUUUGUUCCAUGCAAAUACACCCGGUGCACGAAACGAUUUCUCUACGAACUCCACAUUAGGAAUUGCGAGGGCAAAUCCGGAAUUUGUGGGGUUUUUUUUUUUAAGGAAAAAAAAAAAAGGUUUCUUUCGAGGGUGUUGGUUUACGUUUCCAUCGACAUUUGGAAGGUACGCGUCGAGAACGGGGUGGGGCCCACGAACCUCGUAACCGUAACGGUAACGGAAACGGGAACGGAAAACGACGUGGCUCCGCCGUGAAAUAUCCUCCGUUGCAGGCGCCGUUACCGAGACGCCUCGUGCGUCCACUUCCCGGCUUUUGGACACCCCUCUAUUUCCACUCCUGUUUUUUAACUCAUAUCACGCACGCUAAACUACACUUUGGUCCUCCAACUAUGAAUUUCUGACACUUUCGUAUUCAAAAUUUGGGUUAAUUGCAUACAGGUCCCUAUAAAUAUAGUAAAUUACAAAUAGAUUCCUAUACAGUUCAACUUUUAUAUAUUGUUUAUGUAAAAGUCCUGAUAUUUUCAAAAAUGUUCCUGUCAUUUUGUUAAUUAUAGAUUAAAUACUUAACUCUAAUUUGUUAAUACGGUAAAUUGACCCUUUUAUCCCUCUUCAAUUAACAGUUGGAACUUUUGGAGGGAUUUUAGAGGGACAUAAUUGUGAUGGCAAAAAGGUCAUUUCACUUAUAAAAUUUACUACUCCUAACAAAGAGCGGUAAUGCCCCAUUGAUAGACAUUGCUUUAACGGUAACAAAUUAGAGUGAUAUAUUUGAAAACAUUAGGACUUUUAAAGAAACAAUAUAUGAAAGUUGAACUUUGUAAUGAUGUAUUUGUAAUUCACUAUAUUUGUAGGGAUCUGUAUGAAAUUAAUCCUUAAAAUUUAAUUUGCUGUAAUUACUUCAAACUCAGAAUUAUUAUAAUUAAGUACUACAAUUUAAUUUAGGUAAAUAUUAAUGCGCAACCAAUGUAAAAAUGAUAUAGUACUAUUGUGGUUGAUGAUACGAUAAUAAUUGAGAUGUCAUAUUAUUUUUACAUGAACAAUAUAUCACAAUUUAGUCAACUAAAACCUAAUUAUAAUAAUUCAAAAAAUUUUAAGUUAGAGAUUAUAAUAAAGUAAUUGUAAUAAUUCGAAUUUCCUCGAAUGUAUAAUUUUGACAUCUGUAGUCUAAUUUAUCCAAACAACUUUCACCUCGAAACACAACACACACCCACAAAAAUAAUAAAUAAAUAAAAUAGGGAAAACUUUAAACAUCACCUCCGUGGUUUUACAUUUUUUCACUUUAGUAUUCUGUAGUUUAAAAUGUAUCAAUUUAUUGCCCUGUGAUUUCACUUUAAUCUUUUUAUUGUCGAUUUCACUAAUUUUUUUCGUUAAAUCAGUGACGAAGUUAAAACAAAAGAGUGCUAAAGUGAAUAUUCGAUAAAUCUAGAUGGGAUAUCUGAAGUUUUUGGUGUAUAAUUUAACAAAAUAUUAACGAAAAAACUGACGAAAAUAUAAAAAUAAAACCACAUGACACAAAUUUGAUACACUUUAAAUCAUAGGGUACUAAAAUGAGAAUGUGAGAAACCAGGGGGUGGUAUUUGAAGUUUACCCAAUAAAAUAAGAACACGAGGUUGGAGAGCGCGGAUCUAAAAGCACUUCUCCCGCAUCCCGAGAAGCGCUUCUGCGAUUUUGACCACGUCCCUCCGCAUCCGAAGCAGCGGAUAAGCGGAGUCGUCCACGUAAAAGAAGCCCUCUCUCUCUCUCUCUCCUUUCUAGCCCCCGAGAAGCGCUUUUCGGCGACGUUCUCAACGCCACGGGGGGAAUAUUCAUGUCCCAUUUCCUCUGUUUCUGAUGCUCCUCCCAUAGUUGUUUUCAAGGCACCCAACCCUUUCUUUUGCUAUGCUCCGUCAAAGUUUGAAUUUUUAGGGAUUUUGCAUUAAUGGGAGUUCGUUCAUUUGGUGUUUGGAUUUAGUUGUUCACAACCAAUUUGAGGAUUUAGGUCCUUCUAUUCUCUUCUUUAGUUGUUAACUUGUGUUCUUUGCGUCAAAGUUUGGAUUUUUAGAGGUCUUGCAUUAAUGGGUGUUUGUUCAUUUGGUCUUUGGGUUUAGUUGUUCACAACCAAUUUGAGGAUUUGGGUCCUUCUAUUCUCUUCUUUAGUUGUUAACUUGUGUUCUUUGCGUCAAAGUUUGGACUUUUAGGGGUUUUUUGCAUUCAUGGGCGUUCGUUUGUUUAGUGUUUGGUUGUUCACAAACAAUUUGAGGCUUUGGGUCCUUCUAAUUCUCUUCUUUAGUUGUUAACUUGUGCUCUUUGCAUCAAAGUUUGGAUUUUUAGGGGUUUUGCAUUAAUGGGUGUUCAUUUAUUUGGUGUUUCGUUGUUCACAAACAAUUUGAGGUUUUGGGUCCUUCUAUUCUCUUCUUUAGUUGUUAACUUGUGUUUUUUGUGUCAAAGUUUGGAUUUUUAGGGGUUUUGCAUUAAUGGGUGUUUGUUGAUUUGGUGUUUGGGUUUAGUUGUUCACAACCAAUUUGAGGUGUUUGUUGAUUUGAUUUGGUGUGCACAUCCAUUCUCUUUUUAGUUGUUAACAUGCUUUCCAAAUUUACUCUGUUUUGGGUUUCAUUUUUAUGGUGUUGUGUCAUAGUUUGGAUUUUUAGGGGGUUCUGGGUUAAUGGAUUUUGUUGCUGUGCUGUUUGGGUUUAGUUGUUCACAACCAAUUUGAUGUUUUGGGUCCUUCUAUACUCUUUUUUAGUUUUUAGUUAUCAAAUUUUGGUUUUUUGGAGUGUUUUGGAGAGCUUUUAUGUGAUUUUUAGUUGUUAACUUGUUAUACUUGGGUUGUUAAAUUAGUUUUAACAGUUUAUUUGGUAAUUAUUGUUGUAUAAUUGUAUCUUUAGGACUAAUUGAAUAAAUUUGUGUUUUUUUUUCAAAAAAAAAGUUUACUAAUGUUAUUUGUGACACUCAAUUGUUCUAUCUCUUGUCCAAUGCAGAGUUUGAAUUUGUUUCAACUCUCAGAAAUUGAAUCAUAUGUUCUUAAUCUAUGAUUCGUAGUUACUGGUGCUCAAGUUGGUUGAGAUUUUGCAGAAAUGGCUCUACCAAAUGGCGCGAGAAAAAAGGUAAAUUUUUUGAGCUUUUUGUAAUUUUCAUACCCUUUUUCUAAGAUUCAAGGUGACAUUUUAGAAAAAUUUCAAAAAAAAAGAAAAGAAAAAUGAUUGAGUCCUUAUGGUUGGUUUCUGCAGUUCCUUUUCCCGAAUCUGUUUGGGAGUAAAGAGAAAAAAUCAUCAAAUAUAAUUGAGGGAUCAAUUAGCUCAUCUAGUAAGUUAUUAUUUGCUUUAUUUCUACACCUCUUUUUAAUACUCUUUUUGUUCAAUUAGUCAUAUUUUAAUCUAAGAUGCUUAAAAGAAUUUUCUAGUAUUUGAACUUUUUUAAUUUUUACUGUUCGAUCCUCCAAAAAUGAAUGGCGAUCUCACGGUUCGGUUAAAAAGGAGAACGAAAAGAGUUGCGCUAAGCUCUACGAUGUGAAAUUAUGCAUGUUUGCCACUAUUAUUUAUCCGUACUUUUCGGCAAAAGUAGAAAAUGACAUUCUUCUUUGGAGGGAACAACGCAUUCGGUGAAAAUGAUGGCCAUGGAAGCUUUUCCUAAUUAUCUAUACUUUGCUAAUAAAGCAGGAAUAUGUCACUAAUAGAUGAUAACCGACGAGAGAACUCUAUUCUUGAUGUUAGAUGCAAUAGAACAGUAUAUUCUAAUGUUCUUUGAAGAUUAUGUGUGAUUUUUAAUGGAGAUAUAUUACUUUUCGCCUUUCCCUUUUCCUAGUUGUACGUAAUUUACUAUGGACAUUUUGCUUUCUAACUUUUUCUUAUAGAUUAUGAACUCGACCUGUGUAUAACCGAAGUUUUCUUUUUCUUUUUUUCGGGGGGGGUGAUGAAUUUUGUGUAUGCAUUUCAAUUUUAAGAAAAAAAAAAGAUAGAAAUUUAUGGUUAUACUGUUUCCGACUUUGUAAUUGCAGCUGAUUUCGGAGGAAGUCCGGUUAACUCACCAAGAACAUCCUCUUCCUUUUUCAAAAGCUUUUCCGGUAAAUUCCUUUUGAUCUUUUCUUCUUUCUUGUUUCGAACUGUUUUAAUUUGAUUAAUCAUCUCAAAAGCGUCGUUAUAAGUCCCUUAAUUUGUUUUGCCUUCUUUAAUUUUCUUGGUUUUUUGAACUUAUCGAAGGAGAGAGCAAGAGCCUAAGUUUCAGCGACAUCUCUUCCUCAGGAUCAAAUGCUGUUAAAACUGAGGCCUUCAGGUUCGAGUUCGAUAUCCUUCUACAAUUCCAAUUUUUCUCUACUUUUUCCUUUCCUUUAUUUUUACUGAUUUCGCAGUCUCGUUUCAAUUAUUCUCUUUCUCCAGGAUAUUUGUCGCGACAUGGAACGUAGGCGGGAAACCUCCGUAUGUUGGUUUGAACCUCAAUGACUUUCUCCCUGCCGAUGAUCACUCCGAUAUUUAUGUUCUAGGGUAUGUAUAAAAGUUUAAAACUUUAAGCUAUUAAUCCGAUAAAGCAUUAUUUCGAUAUCUUCGUGACUUUAUAACUUGAUGGUUAUCACUUUACCAUUCUUUGUCACCAAUUGAUUUAUAGAGAUAUGUAUUGUAGCUUAUGCAGUUUAUAGUUUGUUUUUUUUAUCUUAUUCUCUGCUGUGCAUUUCUUCAGUUUUCAGGAAAUAGUCCCUCUAAAUGCCGGAAAUGUGCUCGUCGAAGACAACGAGCCGGCGACAAGAUGGCUUACUUUGAUAAACCAAGCCCUCAACAGACCGGUCGACGUCGACUCUGACAGCUUCUCUUACAGUCCAUCCCCCUCCGCCACUUCUGCUUCUCCGCAAUCUGCCACACUCAACACUCCAAUGCCGAAAUUCUCGGAGAAUUUGAGCACCGGUUCUUUCGUCUUCCAAAAAUCUUCACUAAAAGCGGCGAGCGAAACGUUCAGAACACCUCAGCGACGGCAACUGACGAGGUGCAAUUGCCCAGCGGAGGUGAACGAGAAGUCGUAUAGGAGCUCAUGCUUCACAUGCCAACGGGCUCGUUACGUCAGCGAGACCGAUUCGUCGGAGGAAGAGGAGGACGAAGAGGAGGUGGUGUCGAGCAGCUUUACAAUGAAUGAUUUGGCUAAUGCGGCGGUUUCUGCAACGAGUAACCAAUUAAAGUAUAAUCUCAUCGCGAGCAAACAAAUGGUGGGGAUCUUUGUUACCGUGUGGGCGAGGAAAGAUCUGGUCCAACAUGUAGGCCAUCUUCGGCUCUCUAGUGUCGGCCGCGGUGUCAUGGGUUAUCUCGGUAACAAGGUGUGUUUUUUUGAGUCAUUCUAUAUAUUUACAUGCACAAAAUUGUAACUUGUAUACGCUUUUCAGAAGAUAACCUACGGAAAUUUUAGAUGUUAAAACAAUUCUUCUAAGAUUUGUGUAAAACCAUCUGUUUUAGACAUUUCAUUUAUUUGAAGAGUAUAAAAAAAAUUGAUCUUCUAGGGAUGCAUAUCGGUGAGCAUGUCCUUGCAUCAGACGAGCCUCUGCUUCGUUUGUAGCCAUUUGGCGUCUGGCGAGAAAGAAGGCGACGAGUUGAGGAGGAAUUUGGAUGUUAUAGAGAUCUUGAAGAACACUCAAUUUCAAAGGGUUUGCAGAAGAGGCGGACGGAGAGUUCCGGAUAAAAUUCUCGAGCACGAGUGAGAAUCUUAACUGUGACUAAUUGUAUUACAUUACUCUCUAUCUCUUGCUACAUAACUAACCUUCUUUUAUAAAUAUAUGUAUAUAUAUAUGGUUUAGUCGGGUUAUAUGGUUAGGGGAUUUAAAUUACCGGAUUUCGUUGAGCUACUCGGAGACGAGGAAGCUACUCGAGGAGAAUAAUUGGGAUGCUCUCUUUGAGAAGGAUCAGGUAAUUGGGAUGCUUUCGAUCACUUAUCUUCAUUAGUUUUACUUUUCAAGGUUAAAAUUUAUUGUUUUGCGACAUUAAUCGCCUUCUACGUAUUACUAUAAUUACACGCCGCACGCGAAUGUUUUGCUUUGAUAGCUUAAGAUGGAAAGAGAAGCGGGCCGGGUGUUUAAGGGAUGGAAUGAGGGGAAGAUCUUCUUUGCUCCGACCUACAAGUAUUCGUCGAACUCGGAUUCUUAUGCCGGAGAGACCGUGACAUCCAAGAAGAAGAGGAGAACGCCAGCGUGGUAAGUGCCAUCCACAAUGCUAUGUUUAGUAAUCUCGGUUCAUUAUUUUGUUUUUGUUUUUCCUCCUUCGAUAAUGCAAUUACGAGCCUUUAAUGAAUUCGACCGUUCUUGUUUUCAGGUGCGAUCGAAUUCUAUGGCACGGUGACGGAAUCAUGCAAUUGUCUUACAUACGAGGGGAGUCGAAAUUCUCCGAUCAUCGUCCAGUGUGCGCGGCUUUCAUAAUCGAGGUCGGAGUGCUCGACAGCCAACUGAAGAAUGGUUUAUUAACCCCCAAUAUGAAAGUCGGCGCAGAAGAGCUUCUGCCUCCAAGCAGUAGCUGCCCCUAGUAGUUACAGUAAAUCAAAUGCCUACCCUAAAAUAUUAAUUGUCGAUCGCACUCCUACAUUAAUCAAAGCAACGAGUUUCGCGCACUGAUCCACUUUUGUGAUCAAUAGAUUAACUCGUCGUGAAGUUCAUUUUGUCGUGCAGUAAAAGAAACACACGAGAUCGGUAGAGACUGAAUUUCUUGCUGUACAUAUAUUCACGAUGACAAUAUAAUCGGUAAGUAAACUUGGUUUUAUUAAUUUCUGAUUUAUUUUCAUGUUGUCUAUAAUAUGAGUAAUAGUAACUUUUUGUUUAUUUUAUGUCUUCAGGUUUGCUUUCAUCUGCAUUGGUUCCAAAGGGACUCAUGAUGCCGAAGUGCCGUUUCGUUUAUUCUAUUUUUUUUUUCGUUCGAUUUUUCGUUUUGUUUAUAUGUUUGAAAGAUACAGGAGAGAUAAAUGAGGUGAAUAGCAUGUAAAAUGGUUAUCUGAAUAGCCACUGAAAUGUACAAAAAUGUGAUGUGUAAAGUAAACAGCAUUUAUCUGUUUUUUUUUUUUCCUUUUUCAGAAUAGGACAAUUUUCUUUUUUACUCUAUUUUUUCUCCUGAGAAUAGUUUCAGAAACAGUGUCUUAUCUUAGUUCUCAGAUAUGAUUCAUUUGUAAAUGACUCUUUCUUUUCUCUUAUAUGGAACAAGUGGUAAAUUGUCGGUAUGUUCAAGUAUUGUGUUCUCGGAGUUAAAAUUCCGAGUUUUAUUUGGUUGGAAUCUAAUCCUAACCAUGAGAUUUGGUCACACUAUGCUCUUAAUUCGGGCUCAAAACUCGACUUAUAUUGUUUCAAAAAAUGUGUGUCGCUUAUUCGUCAUCAAUUGUGAAUUCGCAGGAAUCACAUUGUUCAGGACUGAUGAUUUCACCUGAAAAUGCAAUGCAGAGGAUCCAAACUCUCAAUUAUGUUCUAAUUUUCAGAAUUUAGCUGAUUUACAACUGCUCAAUUUGUAAAUUUGGUAUUAAUUUGUGCGAAUUUUCAAUCGAUGCCACACGCAGAUGCUUGCAGAUAAAUUCGAUCCAGUUCGUCGCAAGACGACAAAUAAAAGCAGGAGUGAUUGAUCUGCAGACACUUUCGGAACUUCGAAUCCUCCAUUCAGAAUUUUGUGAUGUUCCAUUCUGAAGAGCAUGAGCAAUAGUCAUCAUACAUAUGCAGGAGAGUUUUCUUGGAUUGAAUUUUAUAUUUUCUUUUUUUGUAUUCUUUUUUUGUUGUAAUUUUUGUUUGUUUUUUGAUGAUUGAGUAUUCAUGUUAAACUAUUGAAUGGAAUCUGAGUUUCUUCACCCUCUGUUACCUAUAUUUCCUCUAUAAAUUGUUUGAUUUUGAUGAUUCAACAACAACAAAAUGCCAAUCACUUUUUUCCCUUAUCUAUAUACCUUAGUCCUUUUUAUGCAUUUUUUUUGGUCAAGGUGAAUCAUAAUACUUUUGAUAAAUUCAAUCAAAGUUCUGAGACAAGUUAUAAAUAGAUAGUGUUCUAAUUUCAGAGAGAGAGAAAGAGAGAGAGAGAGAGUUGUUGUAGACUUAAAUCUUUCAUUAGUGAGAGCACCAUCACAGCAUACAAUUUUUUUUUUUUUGGUGACAUUAUAUAUGAUUCCACAAUAUCUUACCACCUAAGCUAAAAUAGUUUAACAUAUAAUUAUAUUCGACCGAUUCAACCGUUUUGACGGUGACCCAGCUAAUAAAACGGUUCAAUUCAAACCUUUGAACCGGAUAAGCUAAAAAUUCAAUUUAAACCAUUCAAACCGGAGUGAACAGGUGAGCCAGUCCGAUUUUGAAUAAAUUUGUUUGUUAAUGUAAUUUAUAAUAUUACUUACAAUUAAUUUUUUUACUAAAAAAGUAAAAUAAAAAAAUAAUUAAAUAUUUAUGACUUCUUAUUGAUGUUACUGGUUCAAUCAGUGGUUGAAUCACUGAUUAAAAUAGCGACCCUUGACCGAGUAAUACUCGGGUCACUUUUCGACCCGAUUUUUAAAAAAUUACUUUUUAUGCCUUAACCACCCUCUAUAUUUUGCAUCAAAAUUUCAGUUUACCACUAUCUCAAAUAGGUCUAGCAAUUUAGAACAUUGUUGAAUUUGGAUUAAAGGGAAAAACCAAAAAACAGGUUAUAAUUGGUUACAGUGAAAGUACAUGUUUCCAUUACAUUUAACACCUGAUGCAAUUAAUUUUUCUAAAUUAACUUAAACAAUCAUAAGUUGUAUUAAAAUCUCAAAUUUUGCUAAGAAAAUCAGGAAACAGGGUUUAUUGGAAAGAAUUUGAAUUUUUAGAAGGCUAUCCUUGUGAAUAAAAGGAUUUAUAUGUGAGAAUAAAAGGAUAUCUUGGAAAAAAUUUAGAUUUUUUUUUUUUUAACUAUUUAUUGGAAAGUUGGAAAUUUUGUAGGAGUAUAUAGGCAAUUACUCCUAAAUUUUGAAGUGCAAUUAAUGUGCUGUAACUCUUAUAACUUUUUGGGGGAUGCAAAUGGGUUGGGCUGGCCAAUCGGGUCUCCGGCCCGACCCGGAAAGCAAAUAGUAUUGGGUUCAGUUAUUUUAGGUUGGGAUUGGGUCAAUCACACUCAACCCAAAUUGGAGGGGUGAAGUGUAGGGCUAGCAAUCCAGCUCUCCGUUCAUGAGCCAACUCGUAUUCGGCUCGAAAUGAGCUUGAAAUUAGUCGCUCGUUUAAUAGAGCCACAAAUGAGCCAAAUUUUUCAGCUCGAAAUCUUAACGAGCAGAACACAAGUGGGCUAACUCGAAAUGAGCUAAACGAGCCAGAUACGAACAAGCCAAAUUUUCAGCUCAAAAUCUUAACAAGACAAGCACCAGCUAGCGUCAGCUCGCUCUUGUUCGACUUGAUAUAGCCCGAAUUGUGUGUUCAAGAAAAUCCCACAACCCAAUUUAGUUGACUAAAUAUUAACGUGCAGCUGAUACGAAAGCGAUGUAGCAGUAUUGUAAUUGAUAACACGAUAAUAAUUAAGACGCCACGUCACUUUUACGUCAGCGACAUAUUAAUAUAUUUCGUUAACUAAAAUUGGGUUGUGGGUCUUAAUUAUAAUAAUUCAAAAAGUUCAAGUUAAAAAUUACAAUAAACUAAAUUUUGGGCACCUAAGUGUCACACACCUCAUGGUUCGAGGACCAAAAGUGUAAUGUACCCUAUCAUAAUAUAAUAUUAUAAAGCUUUAAAACACAAAAAAUAAUUAAUGCACUUUAUUCUAACACAUAAAAGAACCAAUAAAAUUUGAAUGUAAACUCACUUUAUUCUUCAAUCUUGGUGCUCAAUCAUCAUAACUAUAAAGGAAAAAUAGCUUCUAUUUUUGUAGUUUGAAUUUACAACAAAUAUGUACAAGACACGCGAUCGAAACGACUGUUCAAUUAGUAACUUCGCUAAAAAAGAAAAACCUACUAAACUAUUUGGUAAAUUUUUAGAAAGUCCAAUCGAGAACAUAAAAAGUUCAAACGCAUCUGCUACCACAAGCACUAAAGGUUUAAAAAAGAUUAUAUAUAUUUUUAAAAAAAUUAAAUAUAAAAUAAAAAGUUCAUGUAUUCCAAAUUGCAGUGUCUUGCUGUUGUGGAAUCUGGGCUCUAAGUGGAAUCCUUUCUACAAAGUAUCAAGUAUGGGCAGGUUAAUUACUGGGGUGGGAUACAGUUAAAUCUCACCUAACAUAAUAAUGGGGGGGGGUGAGCCCCACUAAUCAACAAUUAUAAAAUAAUUGAUGAUUUUUAUUGCAGAUCCAUGAUCAUGAUGAUGAUGAUGGUGCUUGAAGUCACCUGUCCUUCAAAAUAUUUAAUGGUGGGACCCACCUGACAUCAAAUAGAAUAGGCCACCAAUAAUUGGGAGAGAGACAGGUGGAAUUCCUUCCGAGUCCACUUUCACAUUUGAUAAUAAUAAUAAUAAUAAUAAUAACAACAAGUUAAGUAACCUGUGUUCCGCUACGAAUUCAUUUAUUUUCUUUAUAAAUAAUUAAUAAAUAAUUAAAUAUAUUUUUUUAUAAAGUAAAUAAUAAUAUAUUUUAAUUAAUUAAAUAAGAAAGUUUUAGAUAUAUUUCCACAUGCGAUUAAUUGUAUCAGAUAUGUAAAUUUUGAUUACAAACAAUAAUACUAAUCUUAACACUCGUUCGGUUUCAGAUUAUAAAUUCAUAAGUUUGUAUUUUAAUUAUAAUAAAACUUUAAAAUAGAUAAUUAUUUAUGCCUAAUUUUAAAUAUUUUAGAUUGUAUGUAUUAAUAUUAAUUUUAAUUUAUAAUUAUUUAGAUAUAAAUAAUCCAUUUUUAUAAAAAACACUACAAUUAAGUUUUUUAAAAUAUAUUUAAUUACAAUAAUUACAUAAAAUAUACUAACUAAUAUAUAAAGCUAAGCAACAAUUCAAAAAUCAUUAAUAUAUAUAUACUUUUAAAUUUUAAUUUAAAUUUAAAUUUAUUUUUUGUAUGUGGCCAAUAACACUCUAAAAUAAGAAGGAUUAGAAAAGAAAAAAAUCAAAAAAAAGAGAGAGAUGGGAGUGGGUCUAAAAUAAAUAAACCAGCUUAAUAAUAAAAAGCUCAUUGUAAUAUUAAAAAAAUAUAUAAUAUUUUUUAUUUAUUUCUGUGUAGAACUUACAAAUAAAAAAAUUAAAAAAAUUAAUUAAAGUAAAAAUACUAUCUUUGUUGAUUCUCAAAUAAAUUAUUAUAUAUUUAUAAUAAAAUAUUAAAAUUUUAUAUAUAUAUAUAUAUUUAUAUAUAUACACGUGUAUUCAAAUUUGGGUUGUCGACAGACCCAUUUUCAGCGGAAAAAUUAGCCGUCCAUUUUUUUCUUUCCGUACGAAAAAUUUUUAAUAUAAGAAUAAAAAUAGAAAUAAAAAACAGUAAUGAAUACGUAAGUUCUCUAUAACAGAUUAGAGAUGUGAAAUCUUAAAAUAUAAAUUUUUAUUUAAUUUCAAAAGUAAGUUUUUUAUAACAGAUUACGGUGGUGCGAAAAUCCUAUAAAAAAUAUUUUUCUAUUUUAUUUUAAAAUAUCUUUUUUAGAUAUUAUCUAUUUAAUUUCAAAAUAUAUUUUCUUUUUAAGAUAACAGAUUUUAUUUUUCAUUUAAUUUCAAAAUUUAUUUCCUAACAGAUUUUAUUUUUCUAUUUAAUUUCAAAAGUAAUAUUUUGCAUUAGAGUUAUGUUAAUUAUUUAUCAUUUAAAGCAUAUCUUUCUUAAUAGCGUGAUUUAUUAUUUUAAAUUUUUUAGAUACAUAUUUGGUAAUCAUAUAAAAUAUGGCCUAAAAUUAAAAAAUAAUUUAAAAAAAUAUAGUUUUUUCUAAUAAUUAUUACGUAUAUUUGCACGUACAUUUUACUAGUAUAUAUAUAUAUAUAUAAUCUCAAAGAGAGAGAGAGAGGGGUCCACUGCUCUCUCUCCCUCAGGUGGUCCACGAGGUGAUGCUCACCUCAUGGACCGCGUGCAAAAAGGGAAAGUGAGCCUUGCCUUUUUGCACUGUAGUUUUUUAUUGGGCUUGCGUGCUAUGUUAGAGACUCGAACCAGUCCAAAAACUUAGAUUGAUAGCUACUAUUCUUUACAGGGAACCCUCAGAUCAGAUAUUUAGCUUCGCUGUAUGUUACUUUUUAUUGGGCUUGUAACGGAAGCGUGGAAAUUCUAUCUCAAGAGAAAUACACUUUUGGAUACUCUAAAAUGUUGCCCCUAAGAAUUGAUAAGGUGUUAGCAAUUUCAUGCAACACUUUGAAAUAUAAAUCUUUCGAAGCCCUUCGCAUCAUAGUUGUCAACGCACUAACAAUAUAUGACAACCGCGUGACGGCAUGAGAGACCAGUAGCAAUACUCUUAUUUUAAAUUAUUUUUUAAAUAAUUCGAUAGUUGAUCUAGAGGUCCAUGUUAAUGAUCGAAAGAACCAUUAGUUGAACCGACACGAAGUGACAUUCAUUGUUUGUCACUUUUUAAUGCGUCCAAAGUGCACUUAAACAAUAUCAAUUGAGGCAAACAAUAAGAACAAAAGGCUAAAUCAACAUUUAACUGCAAGAUAAAAUUUACACGUAACAAAAUUAAACCAACUAAUUGGCAAAGAGGCUAGUACCAUACUAGAAAAGAAUUAUCCAUUUACUUGUACUCUUUGUUAAUUUAUUUGUCCUAUCUAGCAAGUAUCUGCUUUUACUUUCGCCUGUAGUCAUAUCUAAUAGUUUGUUUAGUAAUUACUAAUGAAAAUGAAUAAAUAAUUCUACUCCUAACUCAUUGGAAAGAAAAAAAAUAUUACGAGACCUAAUUUGGCAUUCUUAUUUUAUUACAUGUGAAGUCACACAGAAAAUUUUACUAUAAUACAUGCUUCUGUUAAUAGCAUUACUAGCUCAAAACACUGCACUAAUUUGAUUUCUUUUUCAAGAUUACUGAAAAUGGUGUCUAGAAUCUCAUUUAUUAGCUACAGCUAUAUAUCCACCCCUUUUUUCUUUUUUUUUUCUUUUUUUUUUUUUGUGGUUUUCUCUCCCUCUUUCCACCUGUAGCUGUUGUUGUCUAUUUUGUUGGUCCAAGCAAAUAAUCUUUUUUUUGUACUUUUCUUUCAUUACUGACACAUUUUGUUGCCCACUUGUUCCACACCAAUAAGAUGCACCAGAAUCUAGGGCAUAAAUGAAUAGCUUAAAAACUACUCAUACUGUUAUAGUUGUCCAAACUACUGUACACUUUUACAUAAUCUAAUUAGCUAGCCUGAGACAUUAACUAGUGCUACAUGUAUUACUCAACUUAUAUACUUAUUAUAUUUUCAAGAGUUCAACAUUAAAAUCGACCGUCCCUAGAGCAAGUGGCAAAGGGUUUGGUGGUUGGUACCCAAGACUCAAGUUCGAAUUCUAGUUGAUUCAUAUUUCCAGCUAAGUUUUUUUCUAAAUGAAAUAAAACGAAACGGAUAGCAUGCUUUAAAAAAAAAAAAAGAAAAAGAGUACAACAUUAAAGAUGUGAGUGAGAAGAGAUUUAUCCAAUGAUUCAUUCUGGGUUUAGGUAGAAAGAGCAAUGAUAUAUACUACCACCAUUGUCGGACAUAGUUUUCUUUUUUCGUUCUUUUUGAACGCAUAUUAUUCGUUUUAUUCAUUUUCCAUCGGUGCUUUUCUUUAUUUAAAGAUUGACAAUUGGAUUGAACGUAUGGAAUGGAUGAAUUACCAUUAAUGGAUUCAUAGUUAUAUAUAUUGCGUACCGAUGCAUGCACCAGAUGCAUACAGAUAAUAAUUUUUUUUAUCGAAAAUUCAUUUUGAAUGCCCAACAUCCAACUGAGUUAAAAGUUUGCGAACCAAAUAAAAACUCAACUUAAAAUUUAUAGAGUAGCGUAAUUUAUCGUGAAAACAUCAGGACUAACUUCUAUUUAAAAAGGUACAUAAAAGGGGCUACAUAAUCACAAUCUUAAUACAUUUUUACAUGAAUAUUUACAAUGUGACAAAUCCAAGUUUCUACUCUCGUUGAUGCAAUGAAGAGUUUCUCUUUGUAAGAUCGUAUCGCAUAUGUCGCUCUCGGCAUUCGGCGCUACAAAAAGCACUCUCACCUCUGCAACCACAAAAAUCAAGUAUACAUCUAUUACUUUUUAUUUGUCUAAAAAAAACUAUUUUUUGCAGGUAAUUAAAAGAGGGGGAAAAGCAUAUGUUUUGUGAUCUGCAAUAUAUUUUUUUCGCUUUUCUUAUUUGAUUAUUUAAAAUAACAGAUAGAAGAACUAUGUGAUAAAAUGUUGUUUCUUUGUUCAAAAAACAUGGAGUUUUUUAGUGAUAGAACUAGUGCAAAUUAAGUGAAAUAGUCAUGUUUCUGACUUAAAUUAAUGUGCAAUUCUACUCUUAAAUGAAGUUAAUUUUCUUGAAUAUUCAAAAAUAAAAAAAGAAUUUUGUUGAGUUACACAAGAUAUAUAUAUUUGCUCAAAAAGAAAAGGAAAGCUAAAAAUCAUGAGAAAGAAUUUAACUAGCAAUAGUGUAGCUACAUUUGAGCAAUUAUUUCAUAUACUCAUGGUAUUAUACAUAGCCUACCAAAGUUGGAAUUAAAUUGAUUAAAAUCAUAUAUGAAAUGAUGAGCGAGCAAGUUAAAUGCACCUGUAAAUGUAGAUAUCGCGUUCUAAUCCGAGGGGGCGCCCACACGCUCCGCAAGAGUGCAGGAAAUCGAGCGGUUGCGAAAGCUCUCCAACCUUCUCACCAUCUUCUUUUAUGGACUUCGAUUCGAUACAAGUCGAGGCAUCACUGCUUAUCUUUGCCCUUCUACUUUCAUCAUGAUUCUCAGUUUGAACCUCGUGCGUGAUCUCUCCUUUGCUCGUCGUUCUCGUCAUCGCUCGCGGACGUUUUCGAUGAGAGGACUCCGACAUGCUCGACCGAUCGAUUAGAGACGCAGAAAUCUAAGCUCAAAGCCUCUCAACAUUGAAGACUCUCUCAAGUGUAAGCUUAUGUGAUCUUAUAUACCAUUUUCUUAGGUAGUGAGAGUGCAUGAAUGAGAGAAAGUUAUUGGUGUGCUUUAAUGAUGCUAUAUAUGUUUAUAUACCUUUUACCUUUUUCCAUAUCAAGGGAAUUAAAAGAGUGUUGGGAAGGUCCAUGUUCCAUCCUAGGGUUGAUGAAUGUGAUGUAAUUUGUAGCUUACAAAACAAGCAUGAAGGUGUAAAAGUAGUAUAUAUAUAAUUUUGUCAUUAUUAAUUUAAUCAGUACAUUUUUUGCGUUAUCGCCUAUAUAUCACUAACCCUUGUGACAUUUUUGUAUGUUGUAUCUUAAGGUACAAGCUACGAAUGACGUCGCAUUACGGAUUCGAAACGAAUUAAAGAAGCGUACAAGUUAGUUUGAUUCGACGACCAAGCGAUGUGGAAUUGUUUUAGGGCAAUUGUUUUCAUGAGAAGAAAUAUUUGUACAAGUUCUUGGAUUAAUUUGUGGUUGAGCACUCAUUAGCAAGACCAAGAAUAUUUGUUUUAAUAAACCCUUCCUAUUUUUGAUGAAUUAUAUAUAUUGCAAAGUCAACUAAGAAUAGAAUCAUAUUGUUGACACAAUCUUUUUCGUAGGAAGAUUAUUUUGAUUCAAAUCAAUUUAAAUACUCUUUAAUAUUUGAUAAAUCUUUUUCAUUGGAAGCUUCUUUUGAUUCAAAUCAUUUUAAAUACUCAAGGUUUGACACAAUUAAAACUUGUGCCUUUUAAUUAUUGGUAACACUUCCAUUACUAAGGAAAGGAACAUAAUUAGCUUUCUCCUUUUUAGGUAAAGAUCGAUAGCUAGGGAUUUUGUGAUAAAUAAUUGGUUUCUUAAUGACAUGGAAUAAUAAAAAAUAAAGUUAUUUUACUCUCAAUAAUAGUACUAGACACUGUUAAUUAGUUGUCCUAUGUUGUUAAUUAGUAAAUUUGUGACCAUGGUUUUUGCAUCUCCAGACCUAUCAACACUCAAUAACAAAACACCUGAAGAUUAAUUGUUCUUGAAUUGGUUGGAGAAUACCAUGCAUAUUUAAAUUAAUCAAGCAUAACAUCUUGUUACGACAAACGCACAAACGGAAACGAAACGACGAACACAAAAAACAAUCAAACCACAAGCAGAAAAAUAAAGAGACACAGAUUUACGUGAAAAACCCUUUGCAGGGAAAAACCACGGGCGAGGGACGAGAGAUCUUCACUAUGGAACGAAAAGGGAAUACAAAGUUCUUUAGGUUACAACCAACCACGAUCACACGCCUCUAGGGCAUAAACGAUAAACGAAAAGAAAAACUCAUAACGGGUUUCAGNCCGAGCCCUCCGCUACCCACCACAGACAUUCAUUUUUCCUUUAUAAUUUUUUUUUCCAAAUUGGUCGUACCGCGAAGCUGUCGGCAAGUCGUAAACCCGAACCUGAAUCGAUAGUAGAUUUCGAGUCACAUCUAACACAUCUGAGUUCAAGAGAAAUUUACUUUUUUCCCCCCUAAAUAAAGCUAAUUCAGGAGAAAUCAUUGUAUAGACCUAAUCCAUGAUGUUUUCCACGAACAUAAAAUAUGAAUGUUAACCAACAAACAUAUGAUCUACAACCUCUAAAGGAUUGUUUGGUUGCAUACAGUUGCAAUUGUACUUCAAUUAUAACUACAUAUAAAUCCAAGCAGUAUUGUAGUUAUCACUAUAUGCAUAUCCAAAUUGGUAUCUAGUUUGCAUUUGAAUCCGACUACUAUAGUUGGAAUUGCAGGAGGAGACCCAACUAUUACAGUUGGAGUAACUUUAAACAAAAAAUGAAAGGUAAACUUCUAAUACCAUCCCUUGUGGUUUCGUACUUUUUUAUUUUAGUACCCUGUGGUUUAAAGUGUAUCAAGUUAGUGUCCUAUAGUUUCACUUUUAUCUUUUCGUCAGCUUUUCUGUUAAUAUUUUUUUAAAUUAUAUACAAAAAACUUCAGAUACCCCACCUAGAUUUAUCGAAUAUUCACUUUAGUACCUUUUAGUUUUAACUUUGUCACUGAUUUAACGAAAAAAAUUAGUGAAAUCGAUAAUAAAAAAAUAAAAAUAGAAUCAUAGGACACUAAAUUGAUGCACUUUAAACCACAGGGUACUAAAGUGAGAAAGUGUAAAACCACAGGGGUGGUAUUUGAAAGUUUUCCCAAAAACAAACUUAACUUCCUAAUCAUUAUUUAAAUAGAAUUUUUUUUUCCCUUCUACGUCGGAAGUCCUCUCAACUAUAUAUAUGCAACCAAACAAAAUAUUAAUAGUUGCAUUACCCUUAUACGACAUCCAAUUAAACAGGAUGCUUAUAGUUAUAAAUACGUCUCCAAUUAUACUGAAGUAUCAAUAUACAGAAAAUCAUUAUUUUUGAAAAAAAAAAAUCUUAUUAUCUAAACAUCCAGUAGCCAAAAAAAACAGUGGCGCUUAAAUAACUAUCCUUAUUACAUGAGACUAAUUAUUAGAAUAAUUUUCAAUAUAUAAAUAAUUUAGGUGUUGUAAAUUAUAUAUAUAUACUAGCUUACAAUUUACUUUGAGGCCUCAAAUAAUUGAGUACCAGGUUUGGUAUGAAGAGUACAAGCUACUACAAAUCCCCAAAAUGCUGCCUUAUGGUAUUCUCCUCUUGUUCUUUUUUUCUUUUCUUUUACUUUUCUCUUUUUCUUUUGAAAAAGAGAUAUCAUGACCUUUGUGUAACAUUAUUAUCAUAUAUAUAUAUCUAAUUUUAGAAGUAUGGUUCCAAUUGAACCAUAAGAUGCCACGUGGCGCACUUACAUGAAAAGUUCUAAUCUGCCACGUGGCGCACUUAUCAUAAUAUAUAUAUUUUUAACUUAUCAUAAUAUAUUUUUUACUUCACAUAUAUAUAUAUAUAUAUAUUAUCAUUAUAUAUAUUUUAUAUAUUAUCAUUAUCAUUAAGUAAUUAUAAGAGAGCAUAACUACACGUACCAAAAAAUAACUGCACAGCAAUUUUUUUUCCUUAACCGUACAACAGUUAUUUUUUUUCCUAAACUGCACAACAGUUAUUUUUUUUUCUUAACCGCACAACAGUUAUUUUUUUUCCUAAACCACACAACAGUUUUUUUUUUUUUCUUAACCACACAACAGUUAUUUUUUUUUUCCCUUUUUUUCUUUGAUUGUGAGGCAUAUUUAUCUUUCACAGUUAAUAUCUAAAACGUUACAAAUUUUAUCAUCCAUAUGUAUGUAUUACAAGUGAAUGCCAUUAUUUUAUUAAUGUUAUCAUCCAUAUGUAUGAUAGAUGGAGGCAGACUUAUUUUCCACCUUUAUGCACCAUCUUUCUACAAAAGGCAAGUUUAUUUCAAAAUUUGAAAAUAAUUACGUGUAAUGAUUUGGUCGGUUUGUAAUGUAUAUAUUAUCUUCUCUUUUUUUUCAGGAUACAUACCACUAGCUUUGGACUUCGUCAUAGUAUUGAAAUUUUCAGAGCGCAUAAAUAUUUGCCCCUAUCCCAAGAAAUACUCAAUAAUUACUUUUGGGAGGUAUGUUUGAUAUUUAUAUUUAAAUUUUUGAUUGAUUUGUUGAAAAUAAUUGAUAAACAUACAUGACUAAUUAUUCACAAUAACAAGAACUUUUUAGUUUAAAGGAAUCAUAAUAUGAAUCAUGCUUCACAAGUUCUAAAAAAUUACUUUCCAAAUUUAGUCACUUAAAAUUCUUCAAAAAAUAAGUUUACAAAAUUAGUCAUAAAGAAUUUGAAAUAAGAUUAAUUAUAUAUAAAUAAUAAUUAUGUUAAAUUUCUAAUGGAUUUGAACCUUUUUACUUCUUCAUUUUAAAAUCUUUUUAUUUUAAAUUAUUUACUUACAUUCUAUUAGUAUAUCAUGAUAGUAUUAUUUUAAUUUGAUUCAAUAAUUUUUCUAAUAAAAGCUUAAUAUGCAAAAAAUUAAUAUAUAUUAUAUAAAAGUUGUCAUAAAAAGAUAUUAAAAAACCUUAAUAUCUAAAAAUUAAUAUUAUAUAUUAUAUAAAAGAUGUAAUUUAAAAGAUAAAAUUAAAAUCCGUGCAUUGCACGGGUUAGUUGCUAGUUUAUAUAUAUUAUGAAGGCAGAGGCUUGGAACCCUUUUUUGUUGCAAAAUAUAAAAUCAGAAGUUCAAAUCCCUGACCUAUCAAAAAUCUUUUCAGAAUAACAAUAAAAUGCCCUAAAUUGUGGUUAUUUUUAUUAACAUACAUAACAUGAAUGUCCUGUAUAUUUGUCGGCACAUUAAUGAUUUAAAAAGAUAAUAUUCUAAAGGACCCAAAGCAUACAUUUGCAUGAAAGAGAAAAAUGUACCAUUUUAAUAAAAAAUAGCAACAUCAAAGGGAAAAGGAAAAAAAAAUGAAAUGAUAAAGAGGUUUCUGAUUUGAUGUUUUAACAAACUCCAAUGUAGUUGAUAAGCGUUUUAAUGCUCAUAGCAUUUCUCAUUCUAUAACCAAUCAAAAAUUUGAAAAAUAAACUUAGUUGGAAUAAAGGCCCUAUUUUUCUCCAAUAAUUAUUUGAUGUGUUUAUAAUCACAACGUCACGGUGCGGUACUAUCUAUUGUUUUUCUAUUAUAAAUUAAUAUCUACAGAGUUAUAGAUUUGCAUAUUUGUCUCUGCAAAUGUGGAUCUUCGUGUAACCACCUUAAAAUGUUUGGUUUCUCAUAUAUGAUUCUAAAAUGUAAAAACAUGUACAAGUACAUGGCUAAUUUGAUUGGGGCAAUGUUGGGGUUAAAAAGUUCCUACUUUGGAGAAAGAAAUUUUAGUUAACUUUUGUAGAUCUGAACAUCAAUACGAACUUGCUUUUUUUUUUUUUUUUAAUUUGAAGUUGCUUGUAAGUGUAAACAUCUUAUUGCAAGGUCAGUUUAGAAAUCUGUAGUAAAAUACUAGACUAAAUUACAGAAAACCUUUCUGUUAAUACCCGCUUUUUCACUUUUUUUUCCUGUUAUUUAAAAACCUAUAUAUUUUCUCCCUUGAAAAAUAAACAAUAUUCACAGAAGGGUAUGGUGUGACAAAAUGACCAACUUGUCAUUAUCUUCUUCGUCUCCUCUCCAAUCCUGCUCAUCCUGCACCCUCGCCUGCGCCUCCCUCACCCAAGCUCCGACUCCAUUUUCCCCACCUGCUCUCCUGCUCCUCCAGCACCCUCAUCGUUCCUCUUUUUUGACGAUUGUAGGAAGGAAAUCGUGGUGGGUAUGGGCGGAGAGAUGGGUGAAUGCAAGGCGAGGGUGAAGCGGCGGAGGAGAGCGAGGGUGUGUGUCUGGGUACGGACAGAGAAGUGCGCUAGGGCAAGGCGGCGGAGUAGGGCGAGGCACCGCAGCGAGGAUGUCAGUGAGGAAAUGAUCUAUUAGUUGUAAUCAAUAUUAAACUAUAAUAUGCUUAAUAUAAAAUGAUUAGGUGCUUUUUAAGAAUACCCAUAAUCCAUUGCUCCGUUCUUCCGCUAAACCACAUAGAUUUUCUAGCAAUCGCAUUAGUUAACUUUCAUGUGUAUAAAUCACAAUGCAUACUUCGACGUAUGAAAAUUUGGAAGUCACAACAACUCGUAACGCCCCAAAGAUAAUCUCACAUUAGAUGGAAAAAACAUUAUGAUUAAGUAUAUAAGGAAAUAAGGAAUAGAAACCGUAAUAAUAAUAACUAAACUUAAAAGUACUUUGAACCGAUGGUUCAAGCCCAAUUAGUUAUUAUUGCAAGUUGGCCCGAUCGUUAUAUUUGAUGUCAGAGCCGAAUACCAAUUAGAUGUGUAAAACUUAAAUAUUAUGUCGGAUAAAAUGCUACACCAUGGGUUUGAUAGAAGCCACCAUUUCACCUAAUAAUUUUGAUCUAUCUAC